rnacentral:lncRNA from 1 species
GUUUAGUCAGAAAUUCAAUCAAUGCUACAAGAAGUAGGCCAAACAGCAUCAGAAAGACCUGAAAUUGUUGACCAAGUGUUCCACAUAAAGCUCAAGGAGUUCGUGAGAGACAUAAGAGAAAGGUAAUACUUUAGAAAAACACUCGCAAGUAAUACCCAACUACUUGAUCACACCUCUUACUAUAUCCCUAUAGAAAAAUAACUAACGGUUAUUUCAAAAUUGCAGUUAUAUACACAAUAAAGUUCCAAAAAAGGGAUCUCCCACAUGCCCACAUAGUCAUAUUCCUUGACAGAAAGGAAAAGAAACACAAGUACCCCGAACCAUCAGAGGUAGAUAGGAUAACAUGCACUGAAAUUCAAGACUAGUUGAUCCAUAAGGAUAUGUAGUGGUUGAGAACUACAUGUUGCAUGGACCAUGUGGCAUGGUCGACAACACAUGUAUAAGAAAGUUCCCUAAAAAAUAUGACAGUAAUACCACUGUAGGUGAAGAUGGAUAACCAGUAUAUAGAAAACGAUAAGAUCAAUAGGUGCCUCAAGUACACGUACAUAUCAGGCAAUGACGUGUGUUGAAGAAUAUUUCAGUUCAAAAUGCACUUUCAAGAUCCCUGCAUCGAAAGGUUGCGUUUCCACCUAGAGAAUGAGCAACAAAUCAUUUUAACUGAUUAUACAGAUUUAACAAAGAUCGUAAGGAAAGAAAGAGUGGGAAUAACAAAAUGUACAUAGUGGAUGGAGACAAACAAGAUCCCGUGAAGCAAGAGAAUUAACAUAUGCAGAGUUCCCGUUAAAAUGGGUAUGGAAGAAAAAAGAGAAAAAGUGGGGCAAAACAAAGAAAGGAAGAUACGCUGGAAUGAUAUAUAUGCUCAUACAACAAAUGGUGAAAAAUACUACAUGCGAAUGCUACUUAACGCCCGCAAAGGAUGCAUGUCUUUCAAAAGGAACCGUAAAUGGAGUUGUCCACACUUCAUACAAAUCUGCUUGCGAAGCACUAGGAUAUCAACGACAGAGUGGAUUGAGUGCAUAAAUGGGGCAUCAGACUGGGUGAUUGGCUACCAGCUAAGACAACUGUUCACAACUCUUAUGCCAUUGAAGUCACAAGCCCAAAAAUAUUGUGGGGGACAUGCUCAGAAGUUCUAAGCGAACACAUGGAGUAUAGGCAGAGAAGGCUCUUGAACUAUCCUACACUUUGACUAACAGAUACACAGAAGCAAGGAUACGCCUUGGUGAAAGUAGAUAAGCUCAUGAGACAAGCUGGAAAGACAUUUAAGGAAUACCCCGGAAUACAACAUUCGGAUUCUUCACAGAUAAAGUAACUUGGAAACAAACUACUCAAUGAAGAGAUAACAUCAUUCCAGGAUCUUUGGCAAUAUGAACUCUGAACAACUACAUGCGUUUGAUUCAGUAAUGGAAUCGAUGAACAAAAAUUUGGGAAAGAAUAUAUUUGUGGACGGCUAUGGCGGGAUCUGUAAGACAUACCUACGGAGGCAAUCACAGCAAAGUUGUGUUCCGAAGGAAAGAUAGUACUAGUAGUGGUGUCAUGUCAUAUUGUAGCGCUGCUUCUAUAGGGAGCACACUCGAGGUUCCACAUCCCCCUAUCCUUGCAGAAGAGUCAACAUGUUAAGGUUCCCACUUGACCUACUAAAAAAGACUUCACUUAUACUACGGGAUGAAGGUCUAAUGGCAAACAAGAUAUGCUUUGAGGCACUAGACAGAAGUAAAGGUAGUACUAUAUUGUCCUAAACAAGUGUUCACAAAUGGAUAGCUACACGUAGCAUUAUCAAGAUUCACAAGAAGAGAUGGACAAUGUGUAAUGGUAAAUGAUGAAGAUAGCAAAGAGGAUGAUGUGGUCAAGAACAUUGUCUAUACUGAACUAUUUUAAAGGUAUGGAAAAACAAAAACACUUUUAGUAUGAUUCUUAGAUAAGAAUAGGUACAUGAAAAAUUUGUACACUGCAAACUAUCUUCAAAAUACAAAUUAAUAGCAUACCAAUGCUAACAUGAUAUGGCAGGACAAAUAUGGUCCACUGCUCUGCGUAAGUACUGGAAACGUGCAUCAACAUUUGAAGGAAAUAGUUAAUCAAUACCAAACAUGUACACUAUAUUUUCUGAUAUUUGUGGCUUAAUAUAUAGUACAACACAAUAUAAAGAGCAUCUGUGCAUCAUUAUAAUUUGUAUGACAAUGCGGUCAGACCUAUUUUACUACUCUAUUAAUAUAAAUACAUUUUUGUCUUUGGGAAAUAUUAAACUAGAGUUACUCACAAUUACACUGAUUAAUACAUAUAUUUGUUCAAUAUGAAUUGGGGUAAGGUUUUUAUUAUUUAUAUGUGUUAAAUAUGAAUUGGAGUAAGGGGGGCUAAUACUGCCGAUUACGGUCCAAGCCUGGAAAGAAGUGGAAGGGGCAUAAGAAAAUAAACAUUUUCCACUAACAGGCAGUACCUUAAUCACAUUAUAUUGGUAUAUACAACCGUACAAACAUAAUAAAAGGUUAAUAAAAAAUCGCAAUCAGGAAAAGGAGAAAGGGGAACCUGUAGGACGAAGAAAGCUGCCGAUGUGGAGGAAGACGACGAUGUGUCUGGCUGCCUCGACUGGGAACGACGACGAUGCGUCUGGCUCGCGCGCUAGGGGAAGACAACGCUGCCGCCAUCCUCAUGCUGAAGAUGGAUUCAAGCUGGCAGCGGAAGACAAGAUCCAAGCCCACAUCACAUGCGAGUCGAGCUGGGAGGUGCCUCAGUCGAGGACGAGCAAGCUAAAGGGAGAGCAAACUGAUGGUAGCUGAGUUACCAGUCGGAUCUCAUUCGGUCGUAGGAAUUUUGGAAUGAGCGAGCGGAGAGAAGAAGGAAAGGAGAAAGGGGAUCGGGCAAGAGUACGAUUUUUUAUUUGUAGGGAAGCAACUGCAAUACGUUUCUUUUAGCGGUGCAAGAGCUACAUGCUCACAUGUGAAGGUACGGUCUGAGCAAGAGAGAAAAUGUGUGAGCAUUGUGUUGUGUGCAUCUCCGUAGCCUAUUGGGGUAAAGCACAACUAAAGAAAAUACUAUUUAAAGAAAAACACAAGAUUAUUUUUGCCGGAAAAUAAACACAAGAUUUUCUACAUAUUAGCCAGGAUUACGUACAGUGUACAUGCUCAAGAAAAGUACUGUGCACAUGCCCAAUAAAAUAUAGUCCAUAUAUCAUGUAUUUAGCAUAAAUUAUAAAAAAUCAAACAUAUAAUACAUAAUCAUACGAAUAUAAAAACCAUAACCAAUACCAACGAUUCAUAUUUGGACUCAAAAUUAAUGAGCAUGAAACUUCUUUGCAAAACAACUAUAUAUUUUACAUGAACAAAUCUACCACGACAUGAUGGAUCAAGGCAGAUAAGCUCAAAUUUCCUGACAAGUCAUAUCAACAUCAAAAACAUGAUCACCUGAACACAUGACAAUCUUCAACAAUUCAAGCGGGUGUACCUUCACGAUAUUCUCCCAAAUAUGGAAGGGAAUUCCUUUUUUUGCGGGGAAAAAAACUUUAUUACAUAAAAAUAACCACAUCACAACCAACCAAGAAAACUACCAAAUGUUACAUUCUUUUAACCAAACUUUAUUACAUACUAGCCCGCACGUAUGUGCGGGCCAUUUUGCUAGUUCUCCUCAUAUCGACAUCUCACCAAAAACUUGAAAACUUCAAUCACACAAAACUUAACGGAACUUCGUGAGAUAGGUUAGUAUGAUAAAGAGCAAACCAUUUCACUUUGGUACUGUCAAAGACAAGAUUCAUAAUUGCUUCCACACAAUGCAUACCGUAGCAUAUCAUUUUCGCAAUUUAUAUUGAGCAAUAUAAGUCAUAGAAACUAGAAAACAAGCAAACUAUGCAUUGAAAACAGAAUCUGUCAAAAACAGAAUAGUCUAUAGUAAUCUGUACUUCAACCAUAUUUCUGCUACUCCAAAAAUUCUGAAAAAUUAGGACAACAUAGGGAAUUUGUAUAUCUAUCACCUAUAAAAAAUUCAGAUCAAAAGCAUGUUCCAGUGAAUUCUCAAAAUUCCUGGACUGAGUGCAAAAGGUUUUGUUUUUGGACAAAAUCAAGUCAACUAUCAUCCACGCUAUCCCAAAGGCUUUACUUGGCACUUUAUUGAAACAAAAGCAAUAAAAACAUGAUUACUACAGUGGCAUAAUCAUGUGAACACACAAAAACAGUAGGUAAAAGUGUUGGGUUGUCUCCCAACAAGCACUUUUUUAAUGUCUUUUAGCUAGGCAUGAUGAGUUCAAUGAUUCUCACUAAAAGAAAAUAAUUAAAACACAAUGGGAGCAUCAUGAAACACAUGGCAAGCACAUUUAAGCCUAACCCACUUCCUAUGCAUAGGGAUUCUGUGGGCAAACAAUCUAUGGGAGCAAGAAUCAACUACCAUAGGAAGGCAAAACAAGCAUAACUUCAAUAUUUUCAACAUAAAGAGAGGAAACUCGAUAUUAUUGCGAUAUGUAAAAGCAUAUGUUUCUCUCUCAUAAUAAUUUUCAGUAGCAUCAUGAAUGAAUUCAAUAAUAUAACUAUCACAUAAAGCAUUCUUUUCAUGAUCCACAAGCAUAGAAAACUUAUUACUCUCCACAUAAGCAAAUUUCUUCUCAUCAAUAGCAGUGGGAGCAAACUCAACAAAAUAACUAUCAGUUGAGUGAAAAUUAAAAUGAUGAUGACAAGUUUCAUGGUUAUCAUUAUUAUUUAUAGCACACAUUUCAUCAUCAUAAUCAUCAUAAACAACAACUUUGUUAUCAUAGUCAAUUGAAGCCUCACCCAAAAUGGUAGAUUCGUCACUAAGUAAAGUCAUGACCUCUCCAAAUCCACUUUCGUCAUUAUAAUCAUCAUAAAUAGGAGGCAUGCAAUCAUUAUAAUAAAUGUGCACAUCAAAUCUUGGGGGACUAAAAAUAUCAUCUUCAUCAAACAUAGCAUCCCCAAACUUAUGGCUUUGCAUAUCAUUAGCAUCAUGGAUAUUCAAAAAAUUCAUACUAACAAUAUUGCAAUCAUGCUCAUCAAGAACAAUCUAUUGAAUUCUUCUUCUACCAACUGAGCACAAUUUUCUUUUCCAUUAUUUUCACGAAAUACAUUAUAAAGAUGAAUAAUAUGAUGCAACCUCAAUUCCAUUUUUUUGUAGUUUUCUUUUAUAAACCAAACUAGUUAUAAAACAAGAAACUAAAAGAUUCAAUUGCAAGAUCUAAAGAUAUACCUUCAAGCACUCAUCUCCCCGGCAACGGCACCAGAAAAGAGCUUGAUGUCUUCUACGCAACUUUAUUCUUGUAGACACGUCUUGGGCCUCCAAGCGCAGAGUUUUGUAUGACAGUAGCAAUUUUCUCUCAAGUGGAUGACCUAAGGUUUAUCAAUCUAUGGGAGGCGUAGGAUGAAGAUGGUCUCUCUCAAACAACCCUGCAACCAAAUAAUAAAAAGUCUCCUGUGUCCCCAACACACCAAAUACAAUGGUAAAUUGCAUAGGUGCACUAGUUCGGCGAAGAGAUGGUUAUACAAGUGUAAUAUGAAUGAUAGAUAUUGGUUUUUGUAGUAGGAACAAUAGAAAACAGCAAGGUAGCAAUUCAUAAAAUUGAGCACAAACGGUAUCGCAAUGCUUGAAAAUGAGGCCUAGGGUUUGUACUAUCACAAGUGCAACCUCUCAACAAUGCUAAUAUAAUUGGAUCAUAUAACCAUCCCUCAAAGUGUGAUGAACAAUCACUCCAAAGUUUCUAUCUAGCGGAGAACAUAAGAAGAAAUUGUUUGUAGGGUACGAAACCACCUCGAAGCUAUUCUUUACGAUUGAUCUAUCCAAGAGUUCGUACUAAAAUAACACCAAUGAUUUCAGAUUCCUAAUAUUCAAUCCAACACAAAGAACCUCAAAGAGUGCCCCAAGAUUUCUACCGGAGAAACAAAGACAAGAACGUGCAUCAACCCCUAUGCAUAGAUUACCCCAAUGUCACCUCGGGAAUCUGCGAGUUGAGUACCAAAACAUAUAUCAAGUGAAUCAAUAUGAUACCACAUUGUCACCACGGGUAUUCAUAGCAAGACAUACAUAAAGUGUUCUCAAAUCCAUAAAAGUAUUCAAUCCGAUAAAAUAAAAUCUCAAAGGGAAUAACACAAUUCAUCACAAACAAGAUAGAGAGGGGAAAACAUCAUAUGAUCCGACUAUAUUAACAAAGUCCGCGAUACAUCAAGACUGUGACAUCUCAAGAACAUGAGAGAGAGAGAGGGAGAGAGAGAGAGAGAUUAAACACAUAGCUACUGGUACAACCCUCAGCCCCGAGGGUGGACUACUCCCUCCUCAUCAUGGUGGCCGCCAGGAUGAUGAAGAUGGCCAAUGGUGAUGAUCUCCCCCUCCGGUGGAGUGCCAAAAUAGGGUCUAGAUUGGUUUUUCAUGGCUACAGAGGCUUGCGGCGGCGGAACUUCUGAUCUAGGGUCUCCGCCGGGGUUUUUGGAAUAUUUGAUGAUUUAUAGGGCGAAGAGGUGGUGCGGGAGGCCACCGAGGUGGGCACAACCCACCAGGGCGCGCCUGGGCCCCCGGGCGUGCCCAGGUGGGUUGUGCCCCCCUCGGGGCAACCAUCUGGUACUUCUCUGGCCCAUCCUAGGUGUUUUGGUCCAUAAAUGUCUCCAAAAUGUUUCGCGGUGUUUGGACUCCGUUUGAUAUUGAUUUCCUACGAAGUAAAAAACAAGAAAAAAUAGCAACUGGCAAUGGGCACUAUGUCAAUGGGUUAGUCCAAAAAAAUGAUAUAAAGUUGCUAUAAAUGAUUGUAAAACAUCCAAGAAUGAUAAUAUAACAACAUGGAACAAUCAAAUUAUAGAUACGUUGGAGACGUAUCAGCUGUACGUACGUGUACACGGUUUGGAAGGGAUUGCCUGAACUGCUAUGUUGCGGCUCUACUACUACACGUGCCGCUGCUUGCUCGGCCAUGGUUCAUCGUUGCAGAGAGAUGGAUCGACGAGUAUGUACAUACACGUUCGCGACCAGAAUGACAAUGCUACGUACGCUUCGACCAGGUGGGUCCCGGCUAUCAGGGAGGAUAAGGAGGCACUUCCUUGCGUGCGAAGUUAUUGAUGGUGGGUCUGAGCUGUCAGGGGAAGGAUUCAUUUUUUCGCACCUAAUAUGGAGGCACUUCUUUGCGCGCGAAAAUGUAGCUGGUGGGUCCAUCUAUCAGCCUCACUGGUACACUACUCUUCCGAUGGCUGUCGUUCAUUGACUACGCCGUGCAGACAACACCCAGGCAGUGGACGACGGCGAGGCCUAGGAAGGGAACGACGCUGAGCCAGGGAAGACGAGGCAGGUGGAUGCCCAUGCAGAGGGGAGUAUGAGGGUUCACUGGUUCGGCUACAGUGUAAGGCUGCCGUCGCCGGAGAAUAAUAGGGGGUGUAGGUGAGUAGAGGGAAGGCUUGGCCAGUAGUAGUAUGGUCGGGUGGUGAGGCCUGCGCUGCAGCACAGCCAGCCACCGGAGGCUGGAGCAGGCAGUACGAUGGGCGCAAGUUUGGGCGGCUGGAGCAACAAGACCAUAGGUUGAAGAAGCAGCUCGGCCAUUGGAUUAACAUCCAACAGUCAGUGCAGCUAGAAUUGUUUAUUGACUAAGUUGACAAAACCCUGCAUACGCGUUAACUUAGUAGGCCCACAAGUCAGCCUCCAAAUCUGGUGGGUCCCAGCUAGCAGGGGAACCAAUUUUUUUGCGUAAUAAGGUGGCACUUCCUUGCAUGCGAAGAUGUUUUCUGUUUUUUUAUUUCUUAUUUUUCGAGUUAGAAUAAAAAGAGAACAAUUUAGCAUCUUCGAUACAAUCUAUAUUUUCACGGAAAGGAUCAUAAUAAAUCUGGUGGGUCCCAGCUGUUAGGGAGAGGAAACUUUUUAUUUCCACGUAAUAAAGGAAGCACUUUCUUGUGUGCGGAGAUGUAGCUGGUGGGUCAAACCUGUCAGGGGAGAAAUUAUUUGUUUUCACAUAAUACGGGGGCACUUGGUGCGUGCAGCCAUGGGCCAUGUGGGUCCCUACUAUCAGCCAAUCCACAUACAUGCCUCAUCCAAUGGUUGUCGUUUUUUGACAAAGUUGACCACACCGCGCCAAGAGAACCAACGCAGUGAACGAUGGUGAGUAUUACAAAGGGAACGACCUGGAGCAGAUGAAGACACGGAAGUGGAUGCCCAUGAGGAGGGGAGUAUGAGGGUUCAAUGGUUUGGCUACAGUGUUAGGCUGCCGUCACCGGAGAAGAACAUGAGGUGUUGGUGAGUAGAGGAAUGGCCUGGACGGUGUUUGGGAGUAGGGUGGGCUGGUGAAGCCUGCGCUGCAGCACAGCCGGCCACCGGAGGCGGUAGCAGGUGGUACCGCCAGCGGUGGUUUGGGCGGCUGAAGCAAGAAUAUCCGAGAUUGAAGAAACACUAUAGUCGUUGGAUGGACAUCCAACAGCCACUGUUGCUAGAAUCGUGUUUUGACUAUAAGUUUACAAAGCCUUCUGUACGCCUUAGUAGGCCCACAAGCCUUUCGUACGCGUCACUGACUAUUAUUCUAAAAAAAUAGUAGGCCCAAAAGUGAACAUCACAUCUGUGGUAGAGAACAUAUAGCCCAUUUGCGAUUUGUAAUAAUGUACAACCCAAUUUUGAAUUCUAAUGGAAUUUACUACAACCCAGUUAUAGUCUAUUAAAAUUCCAGCCCAUUUUCUAGCUAGGACAACGAAUAAUAAUUUCAACCAACCUCUCUAAACAGAAUUCAACCAAAAAUCCCACAUUUUGAUGGGAUCCGAAAUAUUUUAUCCCAAAAUUUUGAGUCAGAUUAAAUAUAAUUUCAAAAUGAAUUUGUAUUAGGUAAAAAUCUAAAUAAAUAUUUCGUGCGUAAUAAGUAAUGAAAUUAAAAUUUCCAAAUUCAAAAAAUAAUAAUUUUGAAAGUAAUUACCUGUUUGGUGCGUUUUUGUAUAUUUAUAGCCCAGUUUUUUAUUACAUCCCAUUUAUUAUUUCUUAAAGCCCAUUUUCUUGUUAGGCCUAAUGCAUCCCUCAUAGGAAAGAUUUACAGCCCAGCGGGACGGAGAAUAACUAGUUGACCUGGGUUGGGUAUUCUGCAAAAAAGUAUAGCUGGGCUAGCCAUUUUCACCUUGAAAAAAUAAUAUCUAGGCUGAAUAUUUGGUCGACAUAAAAUAAUAGCCUAGGCUAGACGGGCCACAGCCUGCCCAGUUGAUACCCUGCUCCUCUGAGCAACAACAAAAACAUCGCUUAAGAAACACUCUGCUUACACCUAAAAAACAAAUACUACUCGAGCUGCUGGGUCUCAACUGUCGGCCGCUCCUUGUGCAAUUCUCUCGUUUAUUGACUGUAUAGGUUAACGCUGGUGAGGGACCAUGAUGUCAGGAAACCAGGAGGAAGCAAAAAAAUUAUAGUUGUAUAUAACAAGGAGGAACUUGCGUACAUACGGCUAUGGCCCUGGUGGGUCCCUACUGUCAUCCUCUCCAAGUAAAGUCAUCUCCUGAUUCCUCAUGUUCGUCGACCAUGUUGACAAUGCUCAGCGCCACAGCGAGCGCAACAACUCGAAGGACGACGGAGAGGGCCUUGCGGGCCCUACGGAUGGUCUAAUACAACGCCCGCUGCUUAUUUAGAAAGCCAGGAUCAUCGGACACCUAUGAGCACCUUCGAGAGACUGAGACGGCAUGAAACGGUAAGGCCGCGCUUCGGAGCUCUGGAUUUUUUCACACCUGUAUUAAGAUACAAGUGUAAUUUACUCCUCACCGGAAACAACGCGUAAAAUACAGGCGUAAUGAAACCGAGGGCCCGAGGUCUAUAACAAAAACCAGCAAGUUACACGUGUAAUUUGAGAGACCAGUGUAUAUUUUACUAGUCGAAAUCGACCAACCAAGCGCUUCGCCCAAUACCAUCUGCUUUUAUUUACAAGCAUCAGUUUUACAAGAGGUUUUGGUUGAAAAAAGACGAUCCAAUCACGGCCUAAGAUGAUGAGCUGGUCGGAAGAUCAUAUGGUUUCACCUAUAACCUACCCAAGUUGUUGUAUAUGCUAUGAAUGAAACAUAAGACGAUGAACUUCUUAAGCAUAGAAACAAUAAAACGGGAUGAUCUUCUUAAAAUGCAAAUCACUGGCAUUAGAUCAACAUGCAAAACAGUAUGAAGCAUUAUUCUCAGGAGGCACAGUGAACAGCUCGUGAUGACGCAUGCCACAACAUUCCAAGCUCAACUUUGCAAUCAAACUCACAAGGCCUGGCAUUACAUAGACAACAUUCAGAACAAACUCUUAAAAUACCUUACAUAAGUCAACAUUCAUGUGACUAUGCAUCUCAGCAGAGUAAAUAUUUACUUCUGAACUGAACACAAGACACUGGUACGCGUCGGUGCUAUACAAACGGUAUUUAACCCCUUUCCGCGACGGCAUUUGGAACCAUCACCAAGUGAGUGUGGGUGAUAGGGGGGGUCCUUCCCACAUGACCUAGAAACCGUCGGGGAUAGGGAGCCAAGAUGCAUAUACAAUACUCCUACUCGUUUGUGCUCGCAUUGCCAUCGCAAUCGGUAUUCUGUGGUGCUAUGUUUAUGAUGUGCAACCCAUCACAAACGGUUCACUAUUAUAGAACGUGUAUGAUAAGCUUACAAUCACACACAUUCGCUUGUCCCAAAUUGUAUGCGAUAACUAAUUAAGAAGAUUAGCUAAUCAUCAUAUGAGUGUCGAAUAGGAUUAUGAAACAUCGGACCGUCGUAACAUGGUCGUACACGACAACUAUCGCACCAUGCUAUUCUAUGGUGCAAUGUUUACGAUGCACUUCAUCAGAAACAGUUCAUGGUUGUGAAUCAUGUAUGAUAAGGCAACUAUCACAAAUGUUUAGUUCUUCUAUGACAAAACGUUUGCGAUGCGCACAACAUCACAAACAAUCCAUAAUUUUGAAUCAUGUGUGAUAAGGUGACUAUCGCAAACAUUUAACAAGAAAGAACUAUGUGCGAUGUUGUUGUUAAUCGCACUUGUUUUUCUUGGCUGAUCGUGUGUGCAGUGGAGAUUGAUUGCACACGUAGCAGAUCCUAGAAACGUGUCCGAUCUCCACUUCUAUCGUAGACGUUUUGCUUUCGCCAACCGUGUGUGCAGUGUAAUCCCUAAUUUAAAAAUCACAUGUUUUGAAUUUGAUAGUAGGCAAUCACUUAUUUCAUAUCUAACCAUGUUUAUUACAAAUAUAGGUUCACCACGAAUGCAUAAUUCAAUGCACAGGUACAUAUACUAAAGUACUACAGAAGCAUGCAACUUAGCUUUUCUGUCGUUUGCUUCCUGGUAAGGCGAAACUUUCUUGAACGACGCCUGGUCCACACCAUUAUCUUCUCCUUUCCCCCGGCAAACUUGUGGGCGAGGGAACCUUCCUUUCUUUGAGAAAGAGAAAGAAGAGAAAAUAAAGAUAUGGAGCCUUACGGCUCGUUAUUGCUUACCGGGGGUAGGCGCUGCACAAUGUGUCAGAUAACACAUGCAAAAAAUAGAAAGCAUGAAAUCGACAAGAUGUGCGGGGCACAUGAGCUUUACUUAUGCACGGGGUCUGCGCCCGGCUUUGUACAAAGGAUUACAUGCAACAUCGGCAAGACUUGUACAAAAGGUGGUUGCCGGAACAGGUUCCGGCAACCGCGCCCUACGGGUAAAACUUACAAAGAUGCUCAAUGUUCCAGGAGUUGCUCAUCGGAAUGCCAUCUUCGGUCUCAAGGCAGACAGCGCCAGGCCUAGUGACUUGUUUCACCCGGUAAGGGCCUUCCCACUUCGGCGUCAACUUGUUGGAAUUCUUGGCGGACUGAACGCGCCGAAGAACAAGGUCGCCUUCCUCGAGACUUCUGGCAUUAACUUUGCGGCUAUGGUAGCGGCGCAAAGCUUGCUGGUAUCGAGCAGCUCGUACAGCGGCCUGAAGACGGUCCUCCUCAAGGAGCAGCGCGUCAUCUUGUCGCAGCUGCUCUUGCUCAAGCUCAUCAUAAGCGAGCACUCGAGGUGACCCGUAUACGAGUUCCGUGGGGAGAACUGCCUCUACUCCAUGGACUAGAGCGAAAGGUGUCUGCCAGUGGCUUGAUUUGGCGUCGUCCUGAUCGACCAAAGAACCACCGGCAGCUCCUCAAUCCAGUUCUUUCCGCACUUGCGCAGCCUGUCAAAAGUCCUGGUCUUGAGCCCGCGCAGCACUUCAGCAUUUGCCCUCUCCGCUUAACCGUUGCUUCUCGGAUGAGCAACAGAAGCGAAGCAGACCUUGGCGCCAAGAUCUUGGACGUACUGCAUGAAGGUGCGGCUCGUGAAUUGCGAGCCGUUGUCGGUGAUGAUCCUAUUAGGGAUCCCGAAACGGCAAACAAUCGACCUGAAGAACUUGACUGCUGACUGUGCUGUCACCUUCCUCACUGCUUCCACUUCCGGCCACUUUGUCAACUUGUCGAUUGCAACGUACAAGUACUCAAAGCCCCCGACAGCUCAGGGAAAGGGGCCGAGGAUGUCGAGCCCCCAGACCGAAAAUGUCCAGGAUAAAGGGAUCGUCUGGAGAGCUUGAGCUGGCUGGUGUAUCUGUUUGGAAUGGAACUGGCACGCUUCACACUUGGUUACUUGUGCAGUUGCAUCCUGGAGGGCUGUCGGCCAAAAGAAACCUUGCCGGAACGCUUUGCCGGCAAGUGCUCUUGCGCCAAUGUGGUGACCACAUAUGCCUCCAUGUAUCUCUGCCAACAGCUUUUGUCCGUCUUCCGGAUGAAUACACUUCAAUUUCACACCGUUGAGUCUUCUUCUGUACAGUGUGUUGUCGACAAACUGGUACAUACUUGACUGUCGGGCUACUCUUUCUGCUUCUUCUUGCUCUUCGGGAAGUUCUCCUGUCUGAAGGAAACAGACAAUCUGCUGUGCCCAUGCUGGAGCUUGCGGCUCGACAACAAGGACUAAAGGCACAUCUGCUGAUGCGGGAACAUCCGCUUCUACGGCGAGAACCUGCGGCUCAGCCGGAGCUUGACGUUCCCCGGCAAGCUUGCCGGAGCAAAACUUGUCGGGAGCGUCUGCUUCAACGGAACAAACCCUAGGGCUUGCCGGAGCAGACUGCUCCUCAGCACUCCUGGUGUUGAUCUUGGGGACCUUCUUGGCGGCAGCUUCGGGGAGCUCCGCCGGAAAAUAGUCACCAGAAAUCAACUUCCUCUUCUUGCUAUGUCCAGUUGAUGGCGUUACAAACGGUUGAGUCAGUUUGAGCACAAAGAUCCCUGGUUCCACAGGUAACUUAAGUGCGGCGCACUUCGACAGGCCAUCAGCAAUGUCGUUCUGAGCCCUUGGAACAUGUUCCAUCUGUAGGCCGUCAAAGUGCUCUUCUAGCUUUCUCACUUCGUCAACGUAAGCUUCCAUCAACGGACUCUGAUAAUUCUUGUUCACUUGGCGGACGACAAGCUGUGAGUCACCCCUGACAAUGAGCUUCUUGAUCCUAAGGUCUGCUGCGAUCCUGAGACCAGCAAGCAAACCUUCAUACUUUGCGGUAUUGUUCGUUGCUUGCUCCUUGAGAAAGUGCAUCUGGACUACGUACUUGAGGUGCUCUCCGGUGGGUGCAACAAUGUCACAUCCCUAGCUUCUUGUGCUGCCUGGUGUUUGCAUCAUGUUUAAAUUUUUGAAACUUGAACCGAGGAAAUUUGGAAGCCUCAAAACCCUAAAUAAAAGAAGGGCAAAAACCCUAAAAUCUCAUUCAUUGUUCCAAAAUGCUCUUCUUAGAUGUUUAAUAUUUUUGGCAAGGGUUUUGAUCCAAACCAAAAAUAAUGAACAUUUUAAAAGGAAUUAUUUUGGGACUUUGAAUUUAAAUCAAUACUAUUUUGAAUUUGAACUUAUAUCCAAAUAUUACUGAAUAUAUGUUCAAAUAACUGAAACAUUUUUAUGUGCUUUGGUAUAAUUCCAUUGUGCUAAAUAAAAUGUUCAGGGGAAUUUUGUCACUGUCUUUAAAUUUGUUUUAUUUAGAAACAGUGGCAAAAGGAAGUAAAUUAAACAAAACAGAAGAAAAAUAAAAAAAAGAGCAGAAGACCUACCUGUCGCUUACCUGCGCCUCACCUGUGCUGGCCCAGCCCACCCUGCCAGUCCACUUGGCGGCCCAGCCCACCAGGGGCACCGCCGUCUUCAACCUCUGCCUACUGGCAGAGGCGUGUCGACGCGCCCGUGCCCGGGCCUCCACCUCCUGCUUCGCCGUGGCAGCCUCCCCGACAUCCUCGCGACACCACGGAGACACCCAGAGCCUCCCCUCGUUCUCCCCACUCCCUCUGGACCACUCCCCCCUCCUCUGGCUCCCUCUUCCCCUCUCUUCCCUGUGAGCCCCGAGAGCACGCCGUCGCCGUAGCCAUGGCCAUAGGCCACCACCCGCCCAACCAGCACGGCGAAGAGCUCCACCACGACACCGUGGAGCUACACACUGACGCAUGCGACCACGGGAGCCCUGCAACGUCAUCCCCGGCCUCAUCUUCAACCUCCGGCUGCCGGUGACUUCGCAGUCGAUUCACGGGCUCCAGCACUUCCCCGACCUCGUUGUCGACUCUGCUAGUCCCUACGUGAGCCACUCUCCAUUUCCCCCCUGGAAUCCCCGUCGUUCCCCUCCCCUAGCUAGCUUCCCCACCUCCGCCGAAGCUCGCCGCCGCCAUGGUCAACGAGCUCCGUGCUCGUGAGCUCGUCGGCUCGCCCGAGCAUCACCAGCGUGCUCUCCGUGCUCCUGCGAACCCGAAACACCCAUGGGUGCUCCCUGCCAUGCCCUAUAGCGCCAUCUCCGCUGUUGCCCGAGCUCCGGCCACCGCCUCGCUUGCCGCAGUUGCCAAUUCCGGCCGCCCCGACCCCAACCGACUCCACCAGAAGUUGCGGCAUGUUCCCAGCUACCCAUAGCCACCCUCCGCGGCUCGCUUGGUUGCCGAAACGACCAAAACCACUCUCGCCGCCGCGUCGGGCUCGCCGGCGGUUAAACGCCGGCGACCGUUGACCCUUGACCGACGUGGGUUGACCCCACUGCCCGGUUUGACUCUCCCCUCUCUCUCACUGACAUGUGGGCCCGAGGCCCUGCUAACUUAGUUUAGAUGCUAAUUAAAUUUUAGCUAACCCAGUGACUCGCUGACUGUGGGCCCCAGCCCUUCUAAUUACUUUAGUUAAGAGUUAACUAAACCCUGGUUAGUGCUGAGUCAAUGACAGUGGGCCACACCCGUCAGGUUUGACCUGCAGUAGAGCCUGUUGACUUGCUGACGUCACAGUGACGCAGUGCUUAUGCAAUAAAUCAUUUUCUGGAUUUAAUUUAAUUCAGGAAAUUCCAGAAAAUAUUCUAAACUUCAAUAAAUCAUAGAAAUUCAACCGUAACUCCAAAUUAAAUAAUUUAUAUAUGAAAAAUUAUCAGAAAAAUUCAAGGAAUCCAUCUGUGCCAUUUUCAUGCAUGUUAGAACAACUUAUAGCUGCUGUUUAGCACAAAUCAAAUAAAUGGCAUUUGAAUAAUCACAUAUGGAGUUUGAAUUUGAAUCUUGUAUUCAAACCAACUUCAUUUAAUCUGUUGCUAGUUGCAUUAGCUCAAAACACAUUCAUAUUGCUAUGUCAUGAGCAUGCAUCAUAUUGUGCAUUGCAUUGAUUGUAUUUCUUCUUUGUUGCCGGUAUCUGUUCCCUCCCGGUAGACGAUGUUCCGACACUGUGAUCGAUGACACCGAUGAAGAGCUAUGUUAUCUUCAGAAGUGUCAGGCAAGCAAAACCCCCUUGUUCAUUCCGAUAAAAUCCCACUCUCUCGCUCCUGCUCUCUUUUACUGCAUUAGGACAACAACGACAUAUUUGUUACUUGCUGCGGUAGCUGAACCCCUUUAUCCUUUGCAUGACCUGUCAUUGCCACAGUAAAUAGAUGAAACCCACUAGCAUGAGUAGGAGUUGUUUGAGCCCUGUUGUGCCUACUCAUUCAUGCUUGUUUGUCAUGCCUGCUACUGCUUAAGAGUUGUGUCAGGUCUGAUUCAUCGGGAAUGAAUCAGAGGUGUGUGAACAUGUCCUACCGUUGAGAGCUAAGUGUGUGAACACGAUUUGGUAAAGGUAGCGGUGAGAGGCCAUGUAGGAGUACAUGGUGGGUUGUCUCAUUGCAGCCGUCCUCAGGAACUGAGUUCUGUGUUUGUGAUCCAUGAUCAGUUACUACCUCACAUUGGGCUCCGGGCGCUCCAAGCUCUCUCGACUUAUUAAUCAACAUGAUCUCUGUCCAGGAGUUGCAACUAGUUUCUGGUGUUUGUAGGUAGUGUUAGUAGUCUACCAAGUGGCACCCGGUACAGGUGGGCUUGGGACAGACUAGGCACAGUGGCACGGUGUACCAAGUGGCACCCGGAUGGUGGGCUUGGGAACCCUGCUCACAUCGUUUGGGGCCAUGAGCGACACCCCGGCCGGAUCUCCUUGCGGAUGGAACCCGAAUAGGCGAUAAACCUGGACUAGAGACUUGUUCGGUUAGUCAGGUCGUGGCCGACUCCCUCGCCCGGCUUCCGCUUGAAGGUUGCCGAGGUACAUGAUGUGUACAGGGCGAUAAGUGGCGAAAGCGUGUGUGAAGAAGUACACCCCUGCAGGGUUAUCAUUAUCUAUUCGAAUAGCCGGAUUCCUCGGAUAUGGAAACUUGGACCCCUUGCAUAGUUCAUAGACAAGUGAAAGUGGAUACUCUAAAAUACGCAAGAUAAGCGUGAGUGCUAUGGAUGGCGUUCUCGUAGGGAGACGGGAGCGGUUCCAUAGUGGUGUAUUGGUUGGUGAAGAUGUGGACUCGUGUGCGCCACCUCAAAAGAGUUACUUGCAAUCAUAGUUCAGGAUAGCCACCGAGUCAAAGCUGGCUUGCUGCAGUUAAACCCCACCAUCCCCUUUGUUGAUGAUGAUGCAUUUGUAGUUAGUUCUGAUGUAAGUCUUGCUGGGUACAUUUGUACUCACGUUUGCCUAUUUUAUGUUUUUGCAGAGAGACUUCAGUCUCACUAGUAGUUCCGCUUGGACUUCGACGUUUAGCUUGUUACCUCAGCUACGAUCUUGUGCCCUCGGCAGGAUCUGGUAGAUAGUCAGGCUUCUAAGCCUUUUUCAUUUAUAGAUGUCUGUACUCAGACAUGAUAGCUUCUGCUUGUGCUUUGCCUUGUAUGCUCUGAAUGUUGGGUCAUGAGACCCAUGUUUGUAAUAUCUCGCUCCUAGGAGCCUAUUGAAUGAAAUACUUGAGUUGUAGAGUCAUGUUGUGAUGCCAUGUUGUAUCUGCACAUAUCGAGCAUAUUGUGUGUAUGUUAUUGAAAUGCUUGGUAUGUGUGGGAUCUGACUAUCUAGUUGUUUAUCCUUAGUAGCCUCUCUUACCGGGAAAUGUCUCCUAGUGUUUCCACUGAGCCAUGGUAGCUUGCUACUGCUCCGGAACACUUAGGCUGGCCGGCAUGUGUCCUUCUUCGUUCAUGUGUCUGUCCCUUCGGGGAAAUGUCACGCGAUGAAUACCGGAGUCCUGUUAGCCCGCUACAGCCCGGUUCACCGGAGUCCUGCUAGCCCAGUGCUACAGCCUGGAUUCACUCGCUGAUGACCGACACGUUCGAUGCUGGGUCAUGGAUGCCUGUCCCUGUAAGUUAGUGCCACUUUGGGUUCACGACUAGCCAUGUCAGCCCGGGUUCUUUGUCAUAUGGAUGCUAGCGACACUAUCAUAUACGUGAGCCAAAAGGCGCAAACGGUACCGGGCCAGGUAAGGUGGCACCCGUGGGAAUACCGUGCGUGAGGCCGCAAAGUGAUAUGAUGUGUUACAUGCUAGAUCGGUGUGACUUAGGAUCGGGGUCCUGACAAACAAGUAGCACGCCUGCACCGGCGCCUUGCAGUGAGAAGGCACCAUCAAAGUACAUCAGCCACUCUUUGCUUGCUUCCUUGACGGGGAUGCUUGUUUCUGGAAUUUCUUCAUCUUGUGUUGGCGUCCACUCUGCUAUGAACUCUGCCAAUGCCCUGCUUUGGAUAGUUGAAGUGCUCUCAAACUUGAGGCCAAAGCUUGACAGUUUCAGUGCCCACUCGACAAUCCUGCCUGUUGCUUCUGGAUUUUGCAGUAUCCUCUUCAUCAGAAAACGAGUGACGAUUGUGAUCUCAUGUGCUUGGAAGUAAUGGCGCAGCUUUCUCGAGGCCAUGAGAAGGCCGAAAAGCAAUUUCUGCACACCAGAGUACCUUGACCUAGCCCCCUGCAGAAGGGAACUGACAAAGUAAACUGGGCGCUGCACCAUUCUCUUCUGUAUCUCCUCACGCGCCUGCGCAGAUCCAUCUUUGUCGGGACCAGAGCUUGUCGGUGAAGUCCCCUGCUUGUCGCUGGAUGCAUCUGCCGUGGUUGCUGGCUCAUCAUCCGCCUCCCUCUCCGCCACUAACACAACACUAACCACUUGAUUGGUUGCCGCUAUAUAUAGCAGCAACUUCUCUUGUGGCCUAGGUGCGACAAGUGUUGGAGUGGAGGACAGGUACCUCUUUAAGUCCUGCAGCGCAGCCUCCGCUUCUGGAGUCCAUUUCAUUAGACCUGCCUUUUUCAAUAUUUUGAAAAAUGGCAGGGCGCGCUCAGCAGACCUAGAAAUAAACCUGCUCAGAGCAGCCACGCAACCGGCAAGUCUUCGUACAUCCUUGACGCGCUUUGGUGCUUCAAUCUGCUCAAUGGCCUUGAUCUUGUCGGGAUUGGCUUCAAUUCCCCGCUGAGACACGAAGAACCCGAGAAGCUUGCCGGAGGGGACUCCAAACACACACUUCUCGGGGUUAAGCUUGAGGUUGAUCUUGCGCAGGUUUGCAAAGGUUUCGUCUAAAUCUUGAAUCAGAGUCGCCUUGUCCUUGCUCUUGACCACUAUGUCAUCCAUGUAGGCUUCCACAUUUCUGUGUACUUGUGGCUCAAAAGCGUCAUGGACUACCCUUGCAAAUGUUGAACCAGCAUUCUUUAAACUGAAAGGCAUCCGUAUGAAAUAGUAUGUGCCACAUGGGGUGAUGAAUGCGGUCUUCUCCUCAUCCUCUUCUGCCAUGAAGAUCUGAUGGUAUCCUGAGUAUGCAUCAAGAAAUGAAAGCAAGUCACAUCCGGCCAUGGAGUCAACAAUCUGGUCGAUGCGCGGCAAGGGAAAUGGGUCUUUGGGACAAGCUUUAUUGACAUCGCUAAAGUCGAUACAAAGCCUCCAUUUCCCGUUUGCCUUGCGCACGACUACAGGAUUGGCCAACCACGUAGGAUGGAGCACUCCUCUGACAAGGCCUGCUGCUUCCAAUUUCUUGAUUUCUUCUGCGAUGAAUUCUUGGCGCUCCACUGCCUGUUUCCUGACUUUCUGCUUGACGGGCCACGCAUGAGGGCAGACGGCAAGAUGGUGCUCGAUUACUUUCUUGGGAACACCGGGGAUGUCAGACGGUUGCCACGCAAACACGUCGACGUUCGCCCACAGGAAAGCAACGAGCGCGGUUUCCUAUUUAGGGUCGAGAGUGGCACUGAUGGUGAAGGUACCACCAGUGCCGUCCUCCUUGGCGGACACCUUCUUGGUCUCUGGUGGUGCUGCCAUUGUCUUCUUACACAUGCCGGUGGAGCUCGAUGGUGCGUCCUCGACGGUAGCGCAGCACUCCGAAGAGGUGCGCUUGCCGGAGUGGGCAUCAGAACUCUUGCCAGACUUGGUCUUCUUCUUCCCCCCGGGAGCUUCAAUGGCAAGUGACUUGCAAUUUGUUGCGGCUGGUGGUUCCCGGUAGAUCUUGUCGGCGCAGAUAAGGGCAUCCUUCUUGUCGCCAGGGACAGAGAUGACACUUAUCGGGCCUGGCAUCUUCAGCAUGUUGUAUGCAUAGUGAGAGGCUGCCAUGAAUUUGGCGAGUGCUGGACGGCCGAGUAUCCCAUUGUAAGGCAAUGGAAAGUCAGCAACGUCAAAAGUGACCCUCUCAGUCCUGAAGUUCAACUCGCUGCCAAAUGUCACCGGCAACGUGAUCUUUCCCUUCAGCUUGCUCCUUCCCGGAUUGAUUCCUUGGAAUGUGCCGGUCUCUUCGAGCUCGCUAUCAGGGAUCUGGAGUUUCUGGAGUACCGCGGAGGAGAUCAGGUUCAAGCCGGCCCCGCCGUCAACUAGCAUCUUAGUGACCUUGAGGUUGCGGAUAGUUGGUGAAACCAACAUCGGCAAGCACCCGACCGCAGUUAUGCGAUCAGGGUGGUCCUCAAUAUCAAAGAUGAUAGGCGUGCUGGACCAUUUCAGAGGCUUGCGUGACUCGACGGGUGGUUCUGCCGCAUUGACUUCCCGCACCCACUGCUUGAGCUGGCGGUGUGAAGUAUGCAGAGAAGCACCGCCGUCAAUGCACAGGACCUCUGUGGCUUUCUAGAACUCCUGCUCAUCGGUCUCGUCAUCAUCCAUAUCUUCAUCGUCGUCGUCAUCUUCAUCCUUGUCGCGGCCGCGGGGAGGUCUGUCUCCUUGCCGCUGCUUGGCCUUGUCGCGGCGUCCUCCUCGGCCGGGAUGUUUCUUGCCGGCUCCUCCAGCACCUUCCUGGGCCUUCUCCUUAUCGCGUCGCUCGUAUUCAGCCUUUUGCUACUCGACAAGCUGCUCGACCUUCUUUCAGCUCUGGAGGUCAUGGCCCUUGGUGCGGUGGAUCUUGCAGUACUGCUUGUUGGUGCCGUCCUACUUGUCAGCGACCGCCACAGCCUGGUAGUUGGUGCCUGUGGCAAUCUCCUUGCCGAAGCUACCGGCUUUGGCUUUCUUGGCGCCACCUCCAUUGCCGGACUGCUCAACGACUAGCACAUCUUUGCCUUUCUUCUUCUUGUUGUUCUGCCGCCGGUUUUUCUUUGCCGGGGCAGCAUCCUCACUAUCAGAUCCUCCUGCUCCUGUAUUCUCUCUGGGGAGUUUCCUCCCUUCCUCAGCACGUGCACACUUGUCGGCCAGGGCAUAUAGCUCACUGACGUCUCUGAUCUUGCACAUCGCCAUCUCCUCCCGCAUCCUGCGGUUUCGCACGUUCUAAUGGAACGCGCUGAUUACCGCGGCAGGGUGGACAUCUGGGAUGUUGUGCUGUACGCGGCUGAAUCUCUGAAUAUACUUGCGCAGGGGCUCUCCUUCCUUCUGGGCGAGCAGAUGAAGGUCGUUCUCUUGGCCAUGAGGCUUGUGGCCGCCUGUAAAGGCGCCGACAAACUGAUGGCAUAGGUCUGCCCAGGAGGAUAUGGAGUUGUCCGGCAAGUGCAUGAGCCAGGAUCUGACAUUGGGCUUGAGCACCAGCGGGAAGUAGUUGGCAAGGAUCUUGUCGUCCCGCCCCCGGCAUCUUGCACCGCGAUGGUGUAGAUGCUGAGGAACUCCGACGGAUGCGACUUGCCGUCGUACUUCUCUGGUACAUCUGGCUUGAAAUUUUUCGUGCUGGGCCACUGGACUUGCCGCAGCUCACGAGUGAACGCAGGACAACCUACCGCGUACGGCAAGUCGCCUGGUUCCCCUGGUGCAUGCAUGUCGACAAAGGGCCCAGCGUGCUGGUCCGAUUGACGUCGCACUUCUCUUUGGCGCUCGAUGCGAGUACGAGCGUCUUCUUGCUGUCGUUCGUGAAGAACUUGGCGCUGAUCGCGACGAGCUUGUGGAUCUGAUGACGCGGUGGAGUCGCUGUCGAGGUGGAUCCGGCGAGUCGGCGAUCUUGGCCUUCGGGGUGGAGAGUGCAUGGUGGUUGCACCCCCACCAGUUUCGUCGCCAUCGGCUCGCGCCUGGCAGUCCUGCCGCGACAGCGAUGUACUCGGCUGCCGCGGAGUGUCGCCGUUGGCGAAGCCGAUGAGACUCUGAAUGGUGGCCCUCCAUUCGUCGAUCUUGUCUGUCGUUGGAGGGUAAUCCAGGAGCAGUUGAGCUCGCGCCAAAGCUUCUGCUGGAGUGGUGGGCGGCAGUGGCGAACGGUGCGAGGAGCGGGAUAUGCUCGGACUUCUAACUAUGUUAGAAGGAGCAGUAUCCCGUCCAGGCGACCGUGUCUCGCUCGUGCCAGCAUGUUGGCGUGCAUGCUGGUCUUGAGCAUUCCGAGAUCCACCAGCUCGAUCUUGGUCCAACGAACGUAUGGUACUGCGAAUACCAUGACGCAGUCGGUCCCGUGCCUCUUGAGAUGGGCGUGGUGCAUGUACGGACGCCGAGGUCUGCGCAGCCUUGUCCUUGGACCUGGCAGCACCGUGAGCUCCCUCGUCGACGCCCGUUCUUCCGCCGGCGUCUACCCCACCACCCGUCUGCUCCGGUGGUGGUGGGGUCGACGCGGACGGAACAGCCGCUUCCGAAGCCUUCUUCUUCGGCGACAUGUCGAUGAAAAAGAUGAAGAUCUAGCUCGUGUGAACGCCGGAUCAGGUUCACACAACCUCGAUGCCCCCUACCUGGCGCGCCAAAGAUGUCGGGGAAGCUGAUCCACGAACACCUAUGGGACCGGCGGACCAAGCCCCUUUCGGUUCGGCGGGGGGUGGAGAUCGCACGAAGAGCGGAUCGAGGCGAAGCACACGAGCAGUUUACCCAGCUUCGGAGCUCUCUGGAGAGAUAACACUCCUACUGCUGCAUGUCUGAGUGUAUUGAGUUCUUGUUCGGGAGCGCUAAGUGCUACAGUACACACGAGCUGCUAAUGAGACCGAGGUGAGUGUUUUUCUGCCUUCGAACCCCCCUCAACGUUGCGCAUGGGCCUCCUUUUAUAUGCUAAAGGGGUCACCGACAGGUGGCAACAUAGACAAGGAUAAAAAUGGAAAAGGAAUUGCGGUUGGUACAACUACCUGUACAAUGUAUCAUACCUAACCCUGACGGCAGGGGACAAAGGUAUUAAAUGCCCGUCUGCGUCGCCCAAAUAGUGCAGAAAGGGACCGUCAGGGACGCCACCGCUUGCCACGAUGGCAAUCUUGUCAGCGCCGCUUGCCACCGCACAGCGCUGGCUGCACAGCCUCUCGCCACGCGUGCCUGGAAAGGCCCCAGGGCGACACGUUGGUGGAUGUGCUGGAGCGCGGGUACAGAGUGGUAGCUGGCCGCGGCAAGCGCUUUGCCGCGGUCGUUGUCUUGUCGCGUCCGGAAGCUUGUCGCUCACCGGGCCUUGCCGAGACGCGUGGCGCGUCGCGGCAAGUUCCUUGAGAUGCCUUGGUUGGCCUUCCCGGCAAGCUCCUCUUGCCAGGGCCUUGUCUCCUUGGCUUGAAUACUUUGUUCUAGAAUGGCUCCAAAGGAACCGCGGAGGACCUUGGCGGUCACCCGACAAGCCUUGCCGCGGGGUGCUGCGACUGCCCGUGCACAAGUUCGGGAUACUAGGGUACCCCUACUCUAGUACACCGACAAAUUACGUCCUGGAAGCACCACUGGGUGCCAGGCCUGCUGCUGAUUCAACUGACGACGUUAAGAACGUCUGGCAGAGCAAAGCUGAUGACUACUCGAUAGUUCAGUGUGCCAUGCUUUACAGCUUAGAACCUGGUCUUCAACGACGUUUUGAAAGUCAUGGAGCAUAUGAGAUGUUCCAGGAGUUGAAGUUAAUAUUUCAAGAAAAUGCCCGGAUUGAGAGAUAUGAAGUCUCCAAUAAGUUCUAUAGCUGCAAGAUGGAGGAGGAUAGUUCUAUCAGUGAACACAUACUCAAAAUGUCUGGGUAUAAUAAUCAGUUGAUUCAACUAGGAGUUAAUCUUCCUGAUGAUAGUGUCAUUGACAGAAUUCUUCAAUCACUGCCACCAAGCUACAAGAGCUUCGUGAUGAACUAUAAUAUGCAAGGGAUGGACAAGACUAUUCCCGAGCUCUUCGCAAUGCUAAAAGCUGCGGAGGUAGAAAUCAAGAAGGAGCAUCAAGUAUUGAUGGUCAACAAGACCACCAGUUUCAAGAAAAAGGGCAAAGGAAAGAAGAAGGGGAACUUCAAGAAGAACAGCAAACAAGUUGCUGCUCAAGAGAAGAAACCCAAGUCUGGUCCUAAGCCUGAGACUGAGUGCUUCUACUGCAAACAGACUGGACACUGGAAGCGGAACUGCCCUAAGUAUUUGGCGGAUAAGAAGGAUGGCAAAGUGAACAAAGGUAUAUGUGAUAUACAUGUUAUUGAUGUGUACCUUACUAAUGCUCGCAGUAGUACCUGGGUAUUUGAUACUGGUUCUGUUGCUAAUAUUUGCAAUGUCGGGUUUCGGGUUCCGGCAGACCCUUGAGAUUUGAACACUGGGGUGUGCGCGGAGAUUUCGCCCUCUAUCUACCUGCUCCUCACCGAAUCGCUAGGAUCUAAACUACAGAAGAAACAACAAAGAGGCACGGGGUUUAUACUGGUUCAGGCCACCGUUGUGGUGUAAUACCCUACUCCACUGUGUUGUGUGGCGGAUUGCCUCUUGGGCUGAUGAUGAACAAUACAAGGAAGAACAGCCUCGCGAGGGUCUGUUCUUGACUGGUGUGACGAACUGGUAGGAGGAGUUCAGUCGCUCUAUCUACUGGUUUCUUGGUGUGGAUCCAGAUGCCUCUACCCUGGGGGUGGCUAGUCCUAUUUAUAGGCAAAGGCCCUGGGCCUCUCCCCAAAUAUUGAGCAGGAAGGGCGCCAACAAUUGGCCAUUUUGAAGGGGAACAGCGAGUACACCUAUCCUGACUAAAGUUGGUCCGCGCCUGCCAAAGGCUCUGGUGGUGACGCCUGCUUGGGCUCCACAAUGACUUCCUUCCUGCCGUUGGGCUGGUCUUGGUCUUGUUUCACCGAAACGGAUGUCUUUGCUUGAUGCUCUCGCCUGCGCUUGCUCCCUUUGCACCAAAGUGGAAAGGAGGACACUGCGCGGGCUGGCGCCCGACUGGCGCCCUUGGUCGUCAUGGCUUGCGUCAUGGGCACCUCGCAAGGUACCCCGCCUUGAACUCUCCGCCUCCUCGUGAGCCCACCUGAUGAGGCCGUGCCUGAGGAAGCUCCUUGUCGUCCGCCCCGCGAGGCUUGACCCCUCGCGAGGGUCUUGAGCUCGUGUUGAUGAAGAUGGGCCGCGCUGGGCCCCCUUUGAGCCACGCCGCAGGCCGCAGGCAGGCAAGUCUAGGGACCCCCGUUCCCAGAACGCCGACAGUAGCCCCCGGGCCCACGGCGCGCCCGGACUUGGCCGAGCAGAGAGGCGAAAGGGCAAGUGCGAAGCGUCGCGGGCCCUAACAACCUGCGGCCUUGGGCACCGCGUGGCGGUUGAUUGGACGUGGGCGCCUCAGCAACCGCGCAAGUUGAUAAAGGAGCGGCGUCUGUCCCUUGCCUUCUUUGCUUUCUCCAGUUGCUGCUCAGAUCCCCUUUCUUGCGCCUCUCCUCCCCACCUCCGAAACCUUCAGAUCUACUCCGUCUGCGCGCCCUAGCCAGACAUGGCACCUCGCCAAGCCCCGGCCGGAGCUUGGUAUUCGUCCACCUUGGACUCGCCGAACGUGUCGGAGGCGAGCCUUGCCCGGGUGCGCCAGAUGGCGACGGCGCAGGGCAUCGACGGGGCGAAGGUGUUCAAGGCCGGCUCUGCCCUCCCUGAAGGCCAAGGAAGCACCUUCUAUCCGCUCUUCGUGAGCGCCAUUGUCGCCGGUCUGGUGCCUCCCUUUUCUGAGUUCUUCUUCUCUGUCCUCCACCACUAUAACCUUCAAGCUCUGCAGCUUCAUCCCAACUCUUUCCUUCUCCUGGCAAUCUUCGCCUAUUAUUGUGAGGCUCAUGUAGGGGUGAAGCCCUCAGUGGCCUUGCUGCGCCACUACUUCUCCCUCCGGACCUCUCGUGGUUCCGUCUCUACGCGUGCGAGCUUCGUCGCGUAUGGCAGCUCCAUCGCCAUUUCGAACCCUGGGAAAAGGAUCGAGGGCUUCAGGAGCAAGUGGGUCUUGGUGGAUGCUGGGCGCAUCCACCCUCAGCUGAUCCUGCCCACGGGGCACCCCGCGAGCUCCGACGACUGGUCCCGAGUGGAGCUUGUGGAUCCCCGCACGAAGCCGGUGUUGGAGAAGAUGGACGCGGAUCUGAGGCCGGACAGCAUGGCGGCGGCGAAGCUGACUGGUGCAUCGCUGCUGAGGGAGUUCCUGGAGCACCAGCUGGCUCCGCUUCAUCAGUACUCACUUCCGAUGUGGAGGCCCCACCCGAGUCCCGCAGUCUUGGCCGAUGAGGAUCUGGCUGCGGUUCUCCAGUCUUUGGUUGGGGGCGACGUGGCGAGGUUGGAGGGCGCUCCUACGCCCUUGUUCCUCCGCGAGGACUGGGAGCAGGUAGUGGGGUGCAUGCCCGCCUUCAAUGGGGACGGGCCCGUGCCCGCGGAGGCUCCCGAGGACCCGGUGGACGUGUCUUCCGGCGACUCCAGUGAAGAGAAGGAAGGAGGGGAGCGGGAAGAGGGGGCUGACUCCGAGGCAGAGUCAAGGGCUCCCCCCCUCCGGCGCAGGUCCCGCGCCCUCCGCCUCUCUCUGAGUGAUGACGACGAGGAUGAUGGCGAGCAGGGCGGCGGGAGCCUGCCCCCGAUCCCGAAGAAGGACCGGACCGGGCUGAUCCCCCGCGGGUCUGCCCCAGCCCCGAAGCGAUCCGCAGGCGCGCCUCCUGCUCCCGAGCUCCUUGAGGCUGACCCUUGCAGCCGGCUCUCGGGCUUCAAGUACGGCCGGAGGCUGCUCGAGCCCGCAAGCGACGACUUGUAAGUGUUUGAUUCCUGUCUUGUUUAUUGUUUUGUUGCUGAGGCUUGACGCUCGUAUCUCCCGGCUAGGCUGGCGCCCGCGGCAAAGAAGUCGAAUGGAGCUCCUGAGGUUCCAUCCGUGGCAGCGCCUCUGCCCGUGAAAGCAGGUGACCAUGACGCACGGGCCUCUCCUGCCCGUGCGUCCUCGCAAGGCCUGGCUGAGCCGGCUGGGGCGAGAGGAGCCCCCAUGGCCCAAGCGACUCCCGAGGUGCCCUUGCCUGAUGCCGCCACCACAGCCGUCGUGGCGCAGCAGGUUCCACCUCAGGAUAUCGUGAUUACGCUGCCGUCUUCUCCUCCUACUCCUCCGACUGCUGCUUCCCCGACCACUGUUCUGGAUCGCGCUAUUGCCAAACUGGACCGUCUGCGGCAGGAUCUUCUGGGCGCUGACCCUCGUCUAGUGGCCGGGCGCUUGGAGCUAGCUUCUGGCUGGAUUUGCUCCGAUGCUUCAAUUCGGGCGGCGCUGGUCCAGGCCUCGACGGCUUACGACGAGGAGAAGCAGGCCGUCCUUGGGGCGAAGGUUGCCCGCGACGCCGCCUUGGGGGAGGUGGCUAGCGUCCGAGGUCGCUGCGAGGCGCUGGAGAGCGAGCUGAAGGGCCUGCAAGGCCAGCUCGCCGAGGAGACCCGCCUUCGCCAAGAGCAGGAGGAAAGCAUGAAGGCUCGCGAGGCGGCUGUCAAGGACCGGGACGCCAAGCUCAAGAAGUGCCGUGAUCGCCUGGGCGCACUGGAGCAGGAGCUGGAGGCGAGGAAGGUUGAGCUGGAUGACAAGGCACGGGUCCUUGCCGAGGAUCGUGUGGCCUUUGCGGAGAUGGAGGAGAAGGCUCGCACUUCAUUGAAGAUGCUUUACGAGAGCGGCCUGGAAAGCCCGCUGGCCAGCGAGGAGGAUGGCCCCGCCAAGCUGCUUCUCUUCCUGGUUCGUGCUCUUGAAGAUGUCACCCUUGGCCUUGGCCCUACGGCUGAGGCCGAGGCGCGCGUCUUGUCUUCUGUAGCGCUGACGCCGGUCUUCACCCACAUCUAUCUUUGUGACCCCAACGUCGACCUCGACAGCCUGCUGGAACCAGCGAGCGGCGAGCUUGCCGCUGCCGCUACUGAGGCCGUGAAGGGUCGUGCGGAGGCUCUGUUGGGGAAGUUCCGGGCCUUCAGCACUAAGCCGAAGCGGAGCAUUGCUGGCCCUGCUGCUCCACAAGGCGAACCCGCUCCACGCAGCUCCACUGCCGGUAAGUGACUCUGUCAUGGCUCCCGUCCUGCUUUUAAUUCCUGCACAUGUACCAUGCCUCAGAGAGGCGUUAAAACUUGCAUUUGGUGCUGAGAUAAUAGUAUGGACUGUAAUAUUUGCUUUUGAAUUCCCUAAACUUUGCGCUAUUCCUUCCUACUUGCAUAUGUUCUACGCCGGCAGAGCCCGGCCCCGCGCAUACCUCAGCCGUCGUUAGCCCCGACCAGAAACCAGGACGGGGCCAAGGGGUGAGGGGCUACGUGACAAGUUAGGCUCCUGAGUCGCGAUGCUCAGGAGUCCCCCUUGGCGCUUGAACAACAAGUAGGGAGGUGAGAUGUGGGGGUGACUCCUUAGGGAGGUGAGAUGCGGGUGGAUCUACCGUUCUACGUCUACAGAGCCCGGCCCCGCACAUACCUCAACCGUCGUUAGCCUUUCAGAACUAAGGAGUGAGGGGCUACGUGACCAGUUAGGCUCCUGAGUCGCGAUGCUCAGGAGUCCCCCUUGACGCUCAAACGGCCUUCGUACCUUGGCUCCGCUCGGGGAGGGACGUGCGACGAACUAGGCCCGGGGGGCCUGGCUGGGUGGCGUGCGUCUGGGCGUAACCCAGGCAUAGCCCCCGUGCCCAGCCCCCUUGCGCGGCACUCCUGAGGGGAGGCGUUGCGAUGGGGCUAGACAUUGAGGACUGGGCUCCUUGAGGUUGAUGCGGCCCGGGGGCCACCCUCAGUUGUUUAUCACCAGCGCGGAUCAUAGCGCUUCUGUAUGUGUACGGGCAUAGCCGCUCCUCGGCAGUGUCGUCAGCCUGCAUGGAGCAUGGUGCUUCCACUGGUACGUGGGAGGGGGGCCCCUCCGGGAGGAGCCCCCGGGGCGUGUACAGCUUCGCCCUGACACGUGGCUGGCACGGUAGGGCUUGACGAGGUGUAUCUGGGCACCCGUGAGCCAGCGCGGGACUCACGGGGCCCUACCUCAAGGCGGGUUGCGCCUGGCUCUGGACCUUAUCUUGGAGUAUGUUCCUGCAAAUUUGGCUAGAUGCCGGUGCUCUACGUCCUCGGGUCCCGGCCCUCGAGCUGGUCUCAGCCGUCGGUGGCAUGCCAGGUCGCGAUGCCAUGGACAAGACCAGAGGGUGAGGGCUGGAGAGCCGGUAGGAGCCCUGAGUUGCGAUGCUCAGGCACCCCCCUUUAACGCGCAAGCUGGGUUAGAUGUCGAAACUCUACGUCCUCGGGUCCCGGCCCUCGAGCUGGUCUCAGCCGUCGCUGGCAUGCCAGGUCGCGAUGCCAUGGACAAGACCAGAGGGUGAGGGUUGGAGAGCCGGUAGGAGCCCUGAGUCGCGAUGCUCAGGAACCCCCCCUUUAACGUGCAAGCUGGGUUAGAUGUCGAAACUCUAUGUCCUCGGGUCCCGGCCCUCGAGCUGGUCUCAGUCGUCGCUAGCAUGCCAGGUCGCGAUGCCAUGGACAAGACCAGAGGGUGAGGGCUGGAGAGCCGGUAGGAGCCCUGAGUCGCGAUGCUCAGGCACCCCCCCUUUAACGCACAAGCUUGCGACAUCCAAGAAGAAAAGGUGCCAAGGACAGGCGCCAAAUAACAAGCAUGAUGGGUUGAAAGCAUGGCCCUAAGAUAAACGCAAGAAGGGUACACGCCGCUGGGUCAGACCCGAGCAACUUGGGGAUGAUGCAGCCCAAGGGGGCGCCCCCAAUAAGGUAAGCUAAGAACAUGAAAUAAAAGGGAUACAAGCUGCAGGGAUGGACCCAUGCGGCCUGGGAAUAAUGCGGCCCUGAGGCGCUCCCAGCUGGAAAUGAAACUCGAAAGAUGUCACUUGAUGAUGUUGGGGAUGAAGGGGUGUUGGUGUAGCAGACUCGAUGGGCUGCGGGAGCCGAUUCUCAUGAGCCCCCAGGCCCAGUGGCCUCGGGAGGCCCCGGAGGCGCUGGUGGCUCCUCACGGACCAUCUCCAUCUCCGCCAGGGCUGCGGCGCGCCUGACCUCUUGAGCCUCCAGGAUGGCCCUCAUGAGGCGCUGGUACGCGGCAGCUGCUUUCGGCAAGCCAUAAGGCAUGCGAACGUAGCUGUGGGGCGGACCCUCGCAGCGUCCCACUUGCGAGGGCCAGAGGUGCUCCUGAGACGCGGCUUGGUUGAGCCCUGGUAUGUCGAUGCAGACGCGUAGCCCACCAUCCUCGCCUGGAUGGUGGGCCACAGCGGGUAGGCGGCGGCUGCCUCUCAUGACUCUUGACUCCUGUAGCUCCUGAAUGGCCUUGCUGGCGAACUCCUGAGGGUUUGGCCCUCCUUGCCUUGCUCCUUCUUGAGGGAAUCGUGCUUCGAAACACGCCUCCACGUGGUGCCCAAGCGCCUCCCUCGUGACUUUGGCGAGGUCGGCGGCCCUCCAGGGGAGAGCCCCCAAGCCCUGCCUGAGGAGGGCGCCGGGCGCGCUUCCCUAUGCGAUGGAAGGAGGUUCCCCCUGAGCAGGCGCGGGCCCUGAGGGGCCUGCCUCCUGAGGGGCCAGGCCGGACGAUGUCUUCUUCUUCUUGGGGGCGGCCUCGGGAAGCCUCCUGCUUCCGCGAUCCGGGUCUUCCAGUGAUGCGUCCUGAAAGGCUCGCUCCAGGGAGCACACUGCGUCUCUCUCUUCGCAGGGCACCGUAAUGACUCCGCCACUUCCUGGCAUCUUGAGGACGUUGUAACCGUGGUGGGUUACAGCCAUGAACUUGGCCAGCGCUGGGUACCCGAGGAUGGCGUUGUACGGCAGGCGAAUGUGGGCGACGUCGAAGUCGAUGAGCUCGGUGCGGUAGUUGUCGCGUGCCCCGAAGGUGACAGGGAGGCGGACCUGCCCGAUUGGGACCGUGGAGCCGUCGGUGACUCUGGAGAAAGCUUGGUUGGCUGAAGUUUAUUGUAGGGUACUUGGAGAUUGUUGAACGUUUCCACGGACAGGACGUUGAGCCCUGCCCCGCCAUCGAUGAGGGUCCUGGUGAACAGCACGUUGCUGAUGAUUGGGGAGCAAAGCAUCAGGAGGACUCCAGCCGUGGCCGCGCACUUGAGCUGGUCCGCUGAGCUGAACAUGAUGGUGCACGCCGACCACUUGAGAGGGCGCGUGGCCUCGAGCUUGGGGAGGACUGCAUUCACUUCACGGGUGAACUGUUUGAAGAUGCGCUAAGAGGCUGGGGCUUGGGCUCCACCCAGGAUGCAAGCGAUUGCACGUGGUUCUUCGAAGCCCCCAGCCCCCUCGUCCUGAUGACGGUCUUCAUUUCUUCUUGGCUGCAGCGGCAGCGGAGGAAUGCCUGCAUUACCUUGCGGGCGAUCCUCGCGAGGCUAAUCCCUCCAGCCUCCCUCGCGAGGCGGGUCCUGCUAGUGAUCCUCGCGAGGUUGGUUGCGCCACCCUUGGCGCGGGCCGCGGUCUUCCCAUUGUCCUGCAUUCCUUCCUCCUCCUCGGCCGUAGCCCCGGUCGCUACGGUCGGGACGUCAGCCGACCCUUCCUUCACGCACGGCCCGGAGCUCUUGGCAUUCAUUGGUGUUGUGGGUGUGGAGGUCGUGGUACACGCAAUACCGGCUGCCCUUGGAGGGUUCGGGCUGAUCUCUGCCCCGCUUGGUGACUGGCUCUGCCGCAAGCACGGCAGCCCCCUUGCGCUUCACAUCCUUGGCCUUGGGCUUCUUCUCUUCUGGGUCUGCGGCAGGCAGCUCGAGGAAGGAGAGGUGCCCCUCCUCGGCCCUGGCGCACUUGGUCGCCAAGUUGAACAGCUCCAAGGAGGUGCACAGGUCUUGAUGCAUCGCCAGCUCCUCCUUCAUCUUGACGUCGCGCACGCCGUCGGAGAAGGCCGAGAUGAUGGCCUCCUCGGUCACCUUGGGGAUCAUGAGGCGCGCAUUGUUAAAGCACUGGAUGUACUUCUGCAGGGUUUCCCCUGGUUGCUGCUUGAUAUGGCGCAUGUCACUCAUGGCGGGUGGCUGGUCGCGAGUACCCUGGAAGUUGGCAAUGAAGCGGGUGCGCAUCUCGUUCCAGGAGGAGAUCGUGCCUGGAGCCAGAUUCUGGAGCCAGGUGCGGGCCCCGUCCUUGAGCGCCAUGGGAAACCAGUUCGCCAUGACCUUCUCGUCUCCGUUGGCGGCCUCGAUGCCCAGCUCGUAGAGCUGGAGGAACUCUGCAGGGUUAGCCGUGUCGUCGUAGCGAGGAGGCAGGUCUGGCUUGAACUUGCCGGGCCACGCGACGCUGCGUAGCCAGGGGGUGAAGGUGCGGCAGCCCGCUAUGGCCACAGGAGGCCUUGGGCGACGAAGAGCUUGGUCCUGUGGGUCCUCAUGCGCUGCAGCUGGGAGCAGUGCGGGGUCUUGACGUGCCGGAGCAGGGAGAGCUCGAGCAGCUUCUCGAGGGCAUGGGACUUCUUGGCAGCUCUGCUCCUGCCGCGCUAGCGCCUGACGAAGUGGGUUCCGCUCAGGGGCCGCGCACCUUGGGGCCAGGGCGCCUUCUCGAGGGGGAGGCGGCUGAGGCGCCCCAAGAGCUUCAUUGCCCGCGCAGGGCGGGACGCGGUGCAGCGAGAAGGAUGGCGUGGGGGAGCCCCCAGCGACACGGACGAGCUCGGCGACUCGGUCGAGCCACUCUUCGUAAACGUCGUCAAUUGGGCGGUAGCGCAGGAGCUCGUUUGCCGCGAUGAGCGCAGCUCGAGCCUCCAUGGCCGCGCGGGGCGCGCGGGACGAAGAACCAGCAGGGGUGAGCGAGGGUGUAGCAGUGCGGCCGUCUCGCCUCAUGGAUGGGUGUUGGGACGAUGCUUGCUGCUCGUUCCCCGCCGGGCCGGUGGCAGCAUUGACGGCAGGCGACGGGGAACGAUGGGGGCGCCCGCCGACGGGGGCCGUCUGGGCGAUGCAGGAAGCGAGGGCGGCUCGGUGCUCGGCGCGGGCCCGGCAAGUGUCAGACAUGGAUGCGACGGUCAGAGAAGAACAGGGCGACGGGAAACGAAUUCCGGCGCACCCCUACCUGGCGCGCCAAUUGUCGGAUUUAGUGUUCCGGCAGACCCUUGAGAUUCGAACACUGGGGUGCGCGCGGAGAUUUCGCCCUCUAUCAACCUGCUCCUCGCGAAAUCGCUAGGAUCUAAACUACAGAAGAAACAACACAAGAGACACGGGGUUUAUACUAGUUCAGGCCACCAUUGUGGUGUAAUACCAUACUCUAGUUUGUGGUGUGGUGGAUUGCCUCUUGGGCUGAUGAUGAACAAUACAAGGAAGACCAGCCUCACGAGGGUCUGUUCUUGACUAGUGCGACGAACUGCUAGGAGGAGUUCAGGUGCUCUAUCUACUGGUUUCUUAGUGUGGAUCCAGAUGCCUCUACCCUGGGGGUGGCUAGUCCUAUUUAUAGGCAAAGGCCCUGGGCCUCUCCCCAAAUAUUGAGCGGGAAGGGCGCCAACAAUUGGCCAUUUUGAAGGGGAAUAGCGGGUACACCUAUCCUGAUAAAAGUUGGUCCGCGCCUGCCAAAGGCUCUGGUGGUGACACCUGCUUGGGCUCCACAAUGACUUCCUUCCUGCCGUUGGGCUGGUCUUAGUCUUGUUGCACCAAAACGGAUGCCUUUGCUUGAUGCUCUCGCCUACGCUUGCUCCCUUUGCACCAAAGAGGAAAGGAGGACACUGCGCGGGCUGGCGCCCGACUGGCGUCCUUGGUCGUCAUGGCUUGUGUCAUGGGCACCUCGCGAGGUACCCCGCCUUGAACUCUCCGCCUCCUCGUGAGCCCACCUGAUGAGGUCGUGCCUGAGGAAGCUCCUUGUCAUCCGCCCCGCGAGGCUUGAACCCUCGCGAGGGUCUUGAACUUGUGUUGAUGAAGAUGGGCCACUCUGGGCCCCCUUUGAGACACGCUGCAGGCCGCAGGCAGGCAAGUCUGGGGACCCCCGUUCCUAGAACGCCGACAUGCAACUCGAAACAGGGACUACAGAUUAAGCGAAGAUUGGCUAAGGACGAGGUGAUGAUGCACGUGGGAAAUGGUUCCAAAGUCGAUGUGAUUGCGGUCGGCACGCUACCUCUACAUCUACCAUCGGGAUUAGUUUUAGACCUAAAUAAUUGUUAUUUGGUGCCAGCGUUGAGCAUGAACAUUAUAUCUGGAUCUUGUUUGAUGCGAGACGGUUAUUCAUUUAAAUCAGAGAAUAAUGGUUGUUCUAUUUAUAUGAGUAAUAUCUUUUAUGGUCAUGCACCCUUGAAGAGUGGUCUAUUUUUAUUGAAUCUCGAUAGUAGUGAUACACAUAUUCAUAGUGUUGAAGCCAAAAGAUGCAGAGUUGAUAAUGAUAGUGCAACUUAUUUGUGGCACUGCCGUUUAGGUCAUAUCGAUAUAAAGUGAAUGAAGAAACUCCAUACUGAUGGACUUUUGGAAUCACUUGAUUACGAAUCACUUGGUACUUGCAAACCAUGCCUCAUGGGCAAGAUGACUAAAACAUUGUUCUCCGGAACAAUGGAGCGAGCAACAGAUUUAUUGGAAAUCAUACAUACUUAUGUAUGUGGUCUAAUGACUGUUGAGGCUCGCGGUGGGUAUCGUUAUUUUCUCACCUUCACAGAUGAUUUGAGCAGAUAUGGGUAUAUCAACUUAAUGAAACAUAAGUCUGAAACAUUUGAAAAGUGCAAAUAAUUUCAGAGUGAAGUGGAAAAUCAUCGUAACAAGAAAAUAAAAUUUCUACGAUCUGAUCGUGGAGGAGAAUAUUUGAGUUACGAGUUUGGUUUACAUUUGAAACAAUGCGGAAUAGUAUCGCAACUCACGCCACCCGGAACACCACAACGGAAUGGUGUGUCCGAACGUCAUAAUCGUACUUUACUAGAUAUAGUGCGAUCUAUGAUGUCUCUUACUGAUUUACCGCUAUCGUUUUGGGGUUAUGCUUUAGAGACGACCGCAUUCACGUUAAAUAGGGCACCAUCAAAAUCCGUUGAGACAACGCCUCAUGAACUGUGGUUUGGAAAGAAACCAAAGUUGUCGUUUCUUAAAGUUUGGGGCUGCGAUGCUUACGUGAAUAAACUUCAACCAGAUAAGCUCGAACCCAAAUCGGAGAAAUGUGUCUUCAUAGGAUACCCAAAAGAGACUGUUGGGUACACCUUCUAUCACAGAUCUGAGGGCAAGAUUUUCGUUGCUAAAUUCGGAUCCUUUCUAGAGAAGGAGUUUCUCUCAAACGAAGUGAGUGGGAGGAAAGUAGAACUUGAUGAGGUAACUGUACCUGCUCCCUUAUUGGAAAGUAGUCCAUCAAAAAGAACCGGUUCCUGUGACAACUACACCAAUUAGUGAGGAAGCUAAUGAUAUUGAUCAUGAAACUUCAGAUCAAGUUUCUACUGAACCUCGUAGGUCUACCAGAGUAAGAUCCGCACCAGAGUGGUACGGUAAUCCUAUUCUGGAAGUCAUGUUACUUGACCAUGACGAACCUACGAACUAUGAGGAAGCGAUGAUGAGCCCAGAUUCCGCAAAAUGGCUAGAAGCCAUGAAAUCUGAGAUGGGAUCCAUGUAUGAGAACAAAGUAUGGACUUUGGUUGACUUGCUCGAUGAUCGGCAAGCCAUUGAGAAUAAAUGGAUCUUUAAGAAGAAGACUGACGCUGAUGGUAAUGUAACUAUCUAUAAAGCUCGACCUGUUGCGAAAGGUUUUCGACAAGUUCAAGGGGUUGACUACGAUGAGACUUUCUCAUCCGUAGCGUGCUUAAGUCUGUCCGAAUCAUGUUAGCAAUUGCUGCAUUUUAUGAUUAUUAAAUUUGGCAAAUGGAUGUCAAAACUGCAUUCUUGAAUGGAUUUCUGGAAGAAGAGUUGUAUAUGAUGCAACCAGAAGGUUUUGUAGAUCCAAAAGGUGCUAACAAAGUGUGCAAGCUCCAGCGAUCCAUUUAUGGACUGGUGCAAGCAUCUCGGAGUUGGAAUAAACGCUUUGAUAGUGUGAUCAAAGCAUAUGGUUUUAUACAGACUUUUGGAGAAGCCUGUAUUUACAAGAAAGUGAGUGGGAGCUCUGUAGCAUUUCUGAUAUUAUAUGUAGAUGACAUAUUAUUAAUUGGAAAUGAUAUAGAAUUUCUGGAUAGCAUAAAGGGAUACUUGAAUAAAAGUUUUUCUAUGAAAGACCUCGGUGAAGCUGCUUACAUAUUGGGCAUCAAGAUUUAUAGAGAUAGAUCAAGACGCUUAAUAGGACUUUCACAAAGCACAUACCUUGAUAAACUUUUGAAAAAAUUCAAAAUGGAUCAGGCAAAGAAAGGGUUCUUGCCUGUAUUACAAGGUGUGAAGUUGAGUCAGACUCAAUGCCCGACAACAGCAGAAGAUAGAGAGAAAAUGAAAGAUGUUCCCUAUGCUUCAGCCAUAGGCUCUAUCAUGUAUGCAAUGCUGUGUACCAGACCUGGCGUAUGCUUAGCAAUAAGCUUAGCAGGGAGGUACCAAAGUAAUCCAGGAGUGGAUCACUGGACAGCGGUCAAGAACACCCUGAAAUACCUGAAAAGGACUAAGGAUAUGUUUCUCGUAUAUGGAGGUGACAAAGAGCUAGUCGUAAAUGGUUACGUCGAUGCAAGCUUUGACACUGAUCCAGACGAUUCUAAAUCGCAAACCGGAUACAUGUUUUUAUUAAACGGUGGAGCUGUAAGUUGGUGCAGUUCUAAACAAAGCGUCGUGGCGGGAUCUACAUGUGAAGCAGAGUACAUAGCUGCUUCGGAAGCAGCAAAUGAAGGAGUCUGGAUGAAGGAGUUCAUUUCCGAUCUAGGUGUCAUACCUAGUGCAUCGGGACCAAUGAAGAUCUUUUGUGACAAUACUGGUGCAAUUGCCUUGGCAAAGGAAUCCAGAUUUCACAAGAGGACCAAGCACAUCAAGAGACGCUUCAAUUCCAUCCGGGACCAAGUCCAAGUGGGAGACAUAGAGAUUUGCAAGAUACAUACGGAUCUGAAUGUUGCAGACCCGUUGACUAAGCCUUUUCCACGAGCAAAACAUGAUCAGCACCAAGACUCCAUGGGUGUUAGAAUCAUUGCUGUGUAAUCUAGAUUAUUGACUCUAGUGCAAGUGGGAGACUGAAGGAAAUAUGCCCUAGAGGCAAUAAUAAAGUUAUUAUUUAUUUCCUCAUAUCAUGAUAAAUGUUUAUUAUUCAUGCUAGAAUUGUAUUAACCGGAAACAUGAUACAUGUGUGAAUACAUAGACAAACAUAAAUGUCACUAGUAUGCCUCUACUUGACUAGCUCAUUAAUCAAAGAUGGUUAUGUUUCCUAACCAUAGACAUGUGUUGUCAUUUGAUUAACAGGAUCACAUCAUUAGGAGAAUGAUGUGAUUGACAUGACCCAUUCCGUUAGCCUAGCACUUGAUCGUUUACUAUGUUGCUAUUUCUUUCUUCAUGACUUAUACAUGUUCCUGUAACUAUGAGAUUAUGCAACUUCCGUUUACCGGAGGAACACUUUGUGUGCUACCAAACAUCACAACAUAACUGGGUGAUUAUAAAGGAGCUCUACAGGUGUCUCCGAAGGUACAUGUUGGGUUGGCGUAUUUCGAGAUUAGGUUUUGUCGCUCCGAUUGUCGGAGAGGUAUCUCUGGGCCCUCUCGGUAAUGUACAUCACUAUAAGCCUUGCAAGCAAUGUAGCUAAUGAGUCAGUUACGGAAUGAUGCAUUACAUAACGAGUAAAGAGACUUGCCAGUAACGAGAUUGAACUAGGUAUUGGAUACCGACGAUCGAAUCUCGGGCAAGUAACAUACCGAUGACAAAGGGAACAACGUAUGUUGUUAUGCGGUUUGACCGAUAAAGAUCUUCGUAGAAUAUGUAGGAGCCAAUAUGAGCAUCCAGGUUCCGCUAUUGGUUACCGAGAAUAGUUCUAGGUCAUAUCAACAUAGUUCUCGAACCCGUAGGGUCCGCACGCUUAACGUUACGAUGACAGUUUUAUUAUGAGUUUAUAAGUUUUGAUAUACCGAAGAUUGUUCGGAGUCUCGGAUGUGAUCACGGACAUGACGAGGAGUCUCGAAAUGGUCGAGACAUAAAGAUUGAUAUAUUGGAAGCCUAUAUUUGGAUAUCGGAAUGGUUCCGGGUGAAAUCGGGAUUUUACCGGAACACCGGGGGGUUACCGGAACCCUCCCGGGGGUUAAUGGGCCUUAGUGGGCCAUGAGGGAGAAGAGGAGGGCCGGCCAGGGCAGGCCGCACGGCCCCUCCGCCCCUAGUCUGAAUAGGACAAGGAAGGGGGGGGGGGGGCGGCGCCCCCCUUUCCUCUUUCCUCUCCCCCCUUUCCUUCUCCACCAUGGCAAGAGGGGGGAGUCCUACUCCCGGUGGGAGUAGGACUCCUCCAGGCGCACCCCUAGGGCCCGGCCGCACCUCCCCCUCCCUCCUUUAUAUACGGGGGCAGGGAAACCCUAGGACACACAAGUUGAUCUUCGUGAUCGUUCCUUAGCCGUGUGUUGUGCCCCCUCCACCAUAUUCCACCUCGGUCAUAUCGUUGCGGUGCUUAGGCGAAGCCCUGCGUCAGUAGAACAUCAUCAUCGUCACCAUGCUGUCGUGCUGACAGAACUCAUCCCCGACAUUUUGCAGGAUCGGAGUCCGGGGAUCGUCAUCGAGCUGAACGUGUGCUGAACUUGGAGGUUCCGUACGUUCGGUGCUUGGAUCGGUCGGAUCGUGAAGACGUACGACUACAUCAACCGCGUUGUCAUAACGCUUCCGCUUACGGUCUAUGAGGGUACGUGGACUACACUCUCCCCUCUCGUUGCUAUGCAUCACCAUGAUCUUGCAUGUGCGUAGGAAUUUUUUUGAAAUUACUACAUUCCCCAACACUUUUUACUGCCCAUAAUGAGUUGUGUUAGAUGACAAUGUCUGAAUGUUUUUCCUUUGCAGUGAUUGCCAAAGCAGUUUACUCAAGAUUACCUCUCAAACUACAUGAUUGUAGGGCAUGAAAAGGUUAAAGUAUUUCUACCAGAACACGACGAUUAUCUAUAUGUUUUCAUGAAGACCGUGAAGUAUGGGUGGUCGACCAUCACAAGGGGUUGGACUAGAGUCGUGCGUGCCUUCUGCAUGGAGGAGGGCACAAUAUGGGCAUUCUGCUUCACCUUGUUCAGCAACUAGAAUGUAUUUCGCCUCUUUCUUUAACAUCUUUAAUAGUACAAGUAUACAACUAUGGUUCAUCAUUCUUUAUUUGGUUCUUAUGUAAUUCUUGAACAUAUGUACCUAUGAAUCGAAUAAUUCAUUGGUUGUUUGAACCUAAUGGAUAUGAAUAAAGCUAUAGCAUACAUUCAAAUUCAAAUCCGGUACAAUUUGAAACAUCAGCAAUUGAAUUACGUUAAACUUAUGCUCUCCAGGUCGUUACAGCACACAUGGUUGGUAAAACGCAAAUGUUUUGCGAUAUACACCAUAAUCCGACAUGGUUCACACAGAGGAAAUGUGUGCAAGCAUGCACACAGUUGCUGUUUGCAAAGCGUGUGCAAUGUCAAACAAUAUCAAAAUGGUGCGGGCAACUAAACAUUUGUGAUAGUUGCCUUAUCGUACACGAUUUGCAACCAUGAACUGCUUCUGAUGAAGUAUGCAUCAUAAACGUGGCACCACAGAAUAGCGUGUGCGAUAGUUGUCGUGUACGACGAUGUUACGAUGGUCCGACAUUUCAUAAUCAUGUCCAACACUCGUACGCCGAUUAGUUAAUCUUCUUAAUUAGUUAUCGUAUACGGUUUGGGAAAAGCGAAUGAGUGUGAUUGUAUGAUUAUCAUACACGUUCUAUAAUAGUGAACCGUUUGUGAUGGGCCGCGCAUCAUAAAUGUAGCACCACAGAAUACCGACUGCGAUGGCAAUGCGAGCACAAAUGAGUAGGAGUACUGUAUAUGCAUCUUGGCUCAUCGCCAACGGUUUCUGGGUCGUGUGGGAAGGACCCCCUAUCGCCCACACUCACUUGGCGAUGGUUCCAAAUGCCGUCACGGAAAGGGAUUCAAAACCAUUUGUAUAGCACCAACGUGUACCACUGGUGGUUAUACAAGUGUAAUAUGGAUAAUAGAUAUUGGUUUUUAUAGAAGGAACAAUAAAAAAUGGAGCACAGACGAUAUUGCAAUGCUCGAAAAUGAGGCCAAGGGUCCGUACUUUCACUAGUGCAACCUCUCAACAAUGCUAAUAUAAUUGGAUCAUGUAACCAUCACUCAAAAUUUGAUGAAGAAUCACUCGAAAGUUCCUAUCUAGCGGAGAACAUAAGAAGAAAUUGUUUGUAGGGUAUGAAACCACCUCAAAGCUAUUCUUUACGAUCGAUCUAUCCAAGAGUUCGUACUAAAUAGCACCAAAUAAUUUCAGAUUCAUAAUACUCAAUUCAACAGAAAGAACCUCAAAGAGUGCCCCAAGAUUUCUAUCGGAGAAACAAAGACAAGAACAUGCAUGAACCCCUAUGCAUAGAUUACCCCAAUGUCACCUCAGGAAUCCGCGAGUUGAGUGCCAAAACAUAUAUCAAGUGAAUCAAUACAAUACCCCACUGUCCCACGGGUAUUCAACAAGACAUACAUAAAGUGUUCUCAAAUCCAUAAAAGUAUUCAAUCUGAUAAAACGAAAUAUCAAAGGGAAAACUCAAUUCAUCACAACAAGAUAGAGAGGGGAAAACACCAUAUGAUCUGACUAUAUUAACAAAGCCCGCGAUAUAUCAAGAUCGUGACAUCUCAAGAACACGAGAGAGAGAGAGAGAGAAAGAGAUUAAACACAUAGCUACUGGUACAACCCUCAGCCCUAAGGGUGGACUACUCUCUCCUCAUCAUGGUGGCCGCCGGGAUGAUGAAGAUGGCCACUGGUGAUGAUCUACCCACCGACGGAGUGCUGGAACAGGGUCUAGAUUAGUUAUUCGUGGCUACAGAGGCUUUUGGAGGAGGAACUUCUGAUCUAGGGUCUCCACGAGGUUUUUUGGAAUAUUUGACGAUUUAUAGUGCGAAGAGGUGGUGCGGGAGGCCACUGAGGUGGGCACAGUCCACCAUGGCGCGCCUGGGCCCCCAGGCGUGCCCAGGUGGGUUGUGACCCCCUCGGGGCACAUCCUAGGUGUUCUAGUCCAUAAAAAUUCUCCAAAAAGUUUCGCGGUGUUUGGACUCGUUUGAUAUUGAUUUCCUGCGAAGUAAAAAACAGCAACUGGCACUGGGCACUAUGUCAAUAGGUUAGUCCCAAAAAAUGAUAUAAAGUUGCUAUAAAAUGAUUGUAAAACAUACAAGAAUGAUAAUAUAACAGCAUGGAACAAUCAAAAAUUGUAGAUACGUUGGAGACUUAUUAGCAUCCCCAAGCUUAGUUCAUGCUCGUCCUCGAGUAGGUAAAUGACAAAAAUAGAAUUUUUGAUGUGGAAUGCUGUCUAUCAUGUUCAUCACAUUCUUUUCUUGUGUAGCAUGGACAUAUGGACUUUUAUAUGGUUCAAAGCAAUAGUCUAGUUUUGACAUGAAGAUUUCAAUACUCAAGCCUAUCAACAAGCAACCAUGUCUUUCAAAAUAUCAACACUAAAGCAAGUUAUCCCUAGCCUAUCAUGCUCAAUCAUUGAUCCAUUCAUGAAACACACUCGCAUAUUAGUACGAUAAUAGUUCCCCUUAGUUGGUGCUUAUAAGAGAAGAUGGAGACUCAAAUAAGAAUAAAAAUUGCAUAAAGUAAAUAGAAAGGCCCUUCAUAGAGGGAAGUAGGGAUUUGUAGAGGUGCCAGAGCUCAAAGCUUAAAUUGAGAGAUAAAAGAUUUUGGCAGGCAUACUUUUCCCGUCAACAAAAAUGACUGAAUAAUUCCCAACACUUUCCAUGCUAGAUAUAUCAUAGGCAGUUCCCAAACAGAUAAUAAUGUCUAUUCCUUUUUCCACCAUACUUUCACAUUCCACGACUAACCGAAUCCACGGGGGUCGUCCAUACCAACACUUUCCGAGAAAUUUAUUAUUUGACAACAUAAAGUAAAUUCAUUUUUUAUUUCGGGACUGGGCAUCCCUAAUACCUUUGUCGUACUCUCAUGCAAUGACAAAUGAAUAAACACUCAUCUUGAGAAUAACACAUCUAGCAUGGAAAAUAUUGGUCACCCCCUACCGCUUCAUGAGCGCUACAAGCACACAAAAAAGAAAUUUAUUUUGAAAAUUAGAGAUGGCACAUACAAAUUUGCUUAGAACAGCGAAAGAAUACCGCAUAUAGAUAGGUAUAGUGGACUCAUGUGGCAAAACUGGUUUAAAGGAUUUUGGAUGCACAAGUAGUGAUCAUACUUAGUGCAAAUGAAGGCUAGCAAAAGACUGAGAAGCAUCCAACCAAGAAACGAAAAAUCUCAUAAGCAAGCAUUAAGAAUAACUAACACCGAAUAAUGCACCACAAGUAGGAUAUAAUUUCAUUGCAUAACUAUUGACUUUCGAGCUUGCACAGAGAAUCACAAACUUUAACACCAAUAUUCUUACUAAAGCAUAAUUACUCACCAACAUGACUCCCAUAUCACUAUCGUCAUAUCUCAAAACUACUCCUUCGUUCCAAAUUACUUGUCGUUGUUUUAGUUCAAAUUUGAACUAAAACCACGACGAAUAAUUUGGAACGGAGGGAGUAUUACAAAGAAUCAAGUUUAUUUUGUCCAAUGAUCUUCAUGAAAAAUUUUAUUAUAUCCCUCUUGAAUAUCUAUCACCUUCGGACUAAUUUCAUAAGUUGCAAUUGUUUUUUACAAGCUCAAGCAAAUUUUAGUGAAGAACAUUAGCAUACAAUUUUCUUCUCUCAAAAUAAUAUAUGUGAAGAAUGAGAGAAUUUCUUCAAAAAAUUUAAAGCACAUCGUGCUCAAAAAGAUAUAAGUGAAGCAUUAGAGCAAAUGACAAACUACUCCAAGAAGAUAUAAGUGAAGUUCAAGUGAGUAGUUAAGUAAAUGGGUAGCUAUUUGAGGACUCUCGCUUAUUUAAAAUUUUGAUCUAAGUAUUUUAUUAAAAUAUCAAAAAAAACAAAAAAAUGACAUUCCAAGAAUAGCACAACUCAUGUGAAGAAGCAAAAACUUAGGCUCAACCGAUAUUAACCGAUAAUUAUUGAAGAAGAAAGGUGGGAUGCCUACCGGGGCAUCCCCAAGCUUAGAUGCUUGAGACUUCUUGAAAUAUUAUCUUGGGAUGCCUUGGGCAUCCCCAAACUUGAGCUUUUGUGUCUUCUUAAUUCCUUUUAUAUCACGGUUUUCCUAAAUCUUAAAAACUUCACCCACACCAAACUCAAUAAGAACCGUGAGAUAAGUUAGUAUAAACCAAUGCAAAAACCUUAUCAUUCCCUACUGUAGAAAAUCAAAAAAAUUAUUAUUCAACAUCGCAUACUAAAUGCCUCUGCAUAUUUAAUACUCCUAUCCUCAAAUAGAAUCAUUAAACAAGCAAACAUAUGCAAACAAUGCAAACAUAACAGCAAUCUACCAAAACAGUACUGUCUGUAAAGAAUGCAAGAGCAUCAAUACUUCUUUAACUCCAAAAAUUAUGAAAAUUUACCACACUAUAGAAAAUUUAUCAGAGCUUACUAUGCAAAAAGUUUCAACAUUUUAUUACAUUCUGACGUUUCUCGGAAUUUUUGCAACAUCAAUAAACUUUCUAUUUUGAAACAGCAACUCAUAUACUUGUAAAAUAAGCAUGGUGAAGGCUAUCCUUGACAUUUUUAUUGAAAUGAAAGAUGCAAAACAUUAUUCUAAAUAGCAUCAAGCAAAUAAAAAUAGAAGAAAAUAAUGCUCCAAGCAAAACACAUAUCAUGUGACAAAUAAAAAUAUAGCCUCCCACAAGUAAGAUUACCGAUAAUGUUGGAGAUGAAAGAGGUGAUGCCUUUCGGGGUAUCCCCAAGCUUAGUUGCUUGGAUCUUCCUUGGAUAUUAACUUAGGGUGCCUUGGGCAUCCCAAGACUAGGGUCUUCUCAUUCUUUAUCUAUUAUAUAUAAAAAAUACUUGACGAGCUAACCAGAAAAAAGAUAUAUGCUCACUACAGGAAUCUGCUACUUUGCCAUCGGCCACGGCGGACGGCAAAGGCAUGGAUGGCGGACGGCAAAAGGUGACGGCAAAGUAGGGGACGGCUAAGAGCUGCGUUGUCGUCUGCUUCGGGCAGCUGACGGCAAAGGGUCCUUUGCCAUCAGCAGCGGACGGCAAAGAAGAUGGACGGCAAUAAAUGCGAUGUUACUCCGUUAGGUGGUUAACGGCAGGCCUUUGCCGUCCGCUGCUGACGGCAAAGCCUUUGCCGUCAGCCACUGUAGGCAAACUGACCAAAUUGGUCGGCCUCCCAGGAAGCACAGCUGCCUGCCACGUGGCCUCUUUGCCGUUCGCUGCUGAUGGCAAAGAGCCCUUUGUCGUCGGUGGCAGACGGCAAAGAGCCUGCAUAUUAUCUCUUUUUUUCUUUUUUUUAAUCCAACAGUUUUCACAGCAAAUAUAUAUGACAUAUAUAGAUAUAUUUAACAGCAAACAUAUCACAUAUCCAGCACAUAAUUCCAUAUACAUAUUACAUAGCAAAGUUUCAUCAACAUAGCAAGUUCCAUGAAGUUCCAUCCAUACACAUUGUUCCAUAUACAUAUUACAUAGCAAAGUUUCAUCAACAUAGCAAGUUCUAUCAUAGCAAGCUAGAUACAAUGCAAAGUUUUAGCAAAGAAAAAGCAAGCACUCCAUCAUAGCAAGCUAACUUCCAUGAAGUGAGUGAAAUCUGCAAAAUGGUAAAUAAGAAAGUUAGAAAUAGGUGAAUAGAACAAGAAGAAGACUAGAACAAGAAGUAUAUGUCAUUUAUGAGCUAACUUAGGUGAAAUGAAUCAUAUAUGAGCUAACUAAGUUGAAAUGGGUUGUUCAUGAGCUAACUUUGGUGAAAUGGAUCAUUUAUGAGCUAACUAAGGUGAAGGGCGUCGUUUUUGAGCUAAGUAAGGUGAAAUGGAUCGUUUUUGAGCUAACUUAGGUGAAAUGGAUCAUUUAUGAGCUUUUAUGAGCUAACUUAGUUGAAAUGAGUCGUUUAUGACCUAACUUAGGUAAAAUGGAUCAUUUAUGAGCUUUUAUGAGCUAACUUAGUUGAAAUGGGUCGUUUAUGACCUAACUUAGGUGAAAUGGAUCAUUUAAGAGCUAGUUUAGGUGAAAUGGAUCGUUUUUGGCUAACUUAGGUGAAAUUGAUCGUUUUGGAGCUAACCUAGGUGAAAUGGGCCAUUUUGGAGCUAACCUAGGUCAAAUGGGUCAUUUUGGAGCUAACCUAGGUGAAAUGGGUCAUUUUAAAGCUAACCUAGAUAAAAUGGAUCAUUUACGAGCUAAUUUACUAAAAAUGGGUCAUUUCAGAGCUAACUUGGAUAAAUUGGAUCACUUGUAAGCUAACUAAGGUAAAAUGAGUCAUAUUAGAGCUAACUUAAGUAAAAUGGAUCGUUUAUGAGCUAACUAAGUUAAUUAUGCAAUUUUUGACAUAAGUAACCUUAUUAAGUCAUUUUGAAGGAAAGGAAGCUAACUCUAGGUCAUUAUGGUAAGCAUAUUGGAGGAAAUAAAGCUAAGUCUAAGUCUAGAGAAACUUACCGCGAUCAGGGAGGUGUAGGAGCGGGCUGGCUCGUGCCGGUAGCUGGAGAAGGAUCGUGCGAUGCGUUUCUGGAGUUAAGCUGCACCAAAGAUCAUUUCCAAUGUCUUGUUAGCAUUAUGACACUCAAAUGUUAGACUAGCAAGUAAUGUCCAUUCAAAUUAAACUCACCAUGCUCCCAGGAGCAAUCACUGGCAUCGACGGAGCGGUCUGACCGGACUUCUCGCACACAGACUGCACAUUUGGUUCUCACAACAGAGUCAUACUAGUUAGUAAUGAGACUCAAAUAUUAAGACUAGCAAGUAAUCUGCAGAAGAAACUUACCACAAGGAGCUCAUACAUGGCCCUUGCAUGCAUGUCAUUCCGUGCCCUCUCCUCCUCCAACAUCUUUGUCGUCCUCUCCUCUAACUCCCGCUGCCUCUCCGCCGCCUCCGCCAGAAGUUUCUCCGUUCUAUCUCUCUCACUCUGUAUAGCAGCCUGCAACACCACUCACAUGACCAUUUGUAAUCAUUGAUGGACCGGAGGCUCGUGGACCGGAGUCCGUGUAGCCUCCUCCUUAGACGAAUCCACCCUAGCAGUCACGUGCUCGGGUGAAACAGCUGGGGGCGGCGGCGAGGAAGGCGCCGUAAGAGCCACCCUACCUCCUCUCCCGCGACCACGUGCUCCACCUCGGCCCUUCUUCUUUCCUCGUCCCCUGCUGGGCACCGCGGUCGACGAAGAAGGGCCCGGCGGUGUCGCCAUACUGUCCAGCAACGCUCGGCAGAGAGGUGCGUGUGGAAUGGAAGACCUCACACUACGCGCCGACGAAGAAGUGGCCUCGGCGCGCUACCGACCAGCGCCCACCAUCUGUCAACACCUGCCAUGACAAAGAAUAAAUGUAAUUACUACAACAUGAAAAAACGAACAACAUAAACAACUGCACAUUUAAAACUACCCGAUCAACACAAUUAUAUAUGAUGUUUUUCAUAACCAAAUCGAAAAAUAUAUGACCUAACUAAUAAUUCACAAAUAUAUGACCCCGUCGGGAGGUGUCGGGGGUCNNNNNNNNNNNNNNNNNNNNNNNNNNNNNNNNNNNNNNNNNNNNNNNNNNNNNNNNNNNNNNNNNNNNNNNNNNNNNNNNNNNNNNNNNNNNNNNNNNNNNNNNNNNNNNNNNNNNNNNNNNNNNNNNNNNNNNNNNNNNNNNNNNNNNNNNNNNNNNNNNNNNNNNNNNNNNNNNNNNNNNNNNNNNNNNNNNNNNNNNNNNNNNNNNNNNNNNNNNNNNNNNNNNNNNNNNNNNNNNNNNNNNNNNNNNNNNNNNNNNNNNNNNNNNNNNNNNNNNNNNNNNNNNNNNNNNNNNNNNNNNNNNNNNNNNNNNNNNNNNNNNNNNNNNNNNNNNNNNNNNNNNNNNNNNNNNNNNNNNNNNNNNNNNNNNNNNNNNNNNNNNNNNNNNNNNNNNNNNNNNNNNNNNNNNNNNNNNNNNNNNNNNNNNNNNNNNNNNNNNNNNNNNNNNNNNNNNNNNNNNNNNNNNNNNNNNNNNNNNNNNNNNNNNNNNNNNNNNNNNNNNNNNNNNNNNNNNNNNNNNNNNNNNNNNNNNNNNNNNNNNNNNNNNNNNNNNNNNNNNNNNNNNNNNNNNNNNNNNNNNNNNNNNNNNNNNNNNNNNNNNNNNNNNNNNNNNNNNNNNNNNNNNNNNNNNNNNNNNNNNNNNNNNNNNNNNNNNNNNNNNNNNNNNNNNNNNNNNNNNNNNNNNNNNNNNNNNNNNNNNNNNNNNNNNNNNNNNNNNNNNNNNNNNNNNNNNNNNNNNNNNNNNNNNNNNNNNNNNNNNNNNNNNNNNNNNNNNNNNNNNNNNNNNNNNNNNNNNNNNNNNNNNNNNNNNNNNNNNNNNNNNNNNNNNNNNNNNNNNNNNNNNNNNNNNNNNNNNNNNNNNNNNNNNNNNNNNNNNNNNNNNNNNNNNNNNNNNNNNNNNNNNNNNNNNNNNNNNNNNNNNNNNNNNNNNNNNNNNNNNNNNNNNNNNNNNNNNNNNNNNNNNNNNNNNNNNNNNNNNNNNNNNNNNNNNNNNNNNNNNNNNNNNNNNNNNNNNNNNNNNNNNNNNNNNNNNNNNNNNNNNNNNNNNNNNNNNNNNNNNNNNNNNNNNNNNNNNNNNNNNNNNNNNNNNNNNNNNNNNNNNNNNNNNNNNNNNNNNNNNNNNNNNNNNNNNNNNNNNNNNNNNNNNNNNNNNNNNNNNNNNNNNNNNNNNNNNNNNNNNNNNNNNNNNNNNNNNNNNNNNNNNNNNNNNNNNNNNNNNNNNNNNNNNNNNNNNNNNNNNNNNNNNNNNNNNNNNNNNNNNNNNNNNNNNNNNNNNNNNNNNNNNNNNNNNNNNNNNNNNNNNNNNNNNNNNNNNNNNNNNNNNNNNNNNNNNNNNNNNNNNNNNNNNNNNNNNNNNNNNNNNNNNNNNNNNNNNNNNNNNNNNNNNNNNNGCGACGAGGUGGUGGGGCGACAGGACGGUGGGGCGGCGGGGCGGUGGUGCGACCGGGCGUCAGCGAGUGGUGGGGGCGGCAGCGCGCAUAUGUGGGAGGGAAACAGAGAGAGAGGGGGGGUGGGGCGCGCCGGCCAUUAGAUACGUUUAAUCUUUGCCGUCCAUCACCUUUGCCGUCCGCUAAUGUGCACUUUGCCGUCCGCUAGCGGACGGCAAAGAGGGGGGCCGUUAAGUAUUUUUUAACCAGCUCCUCAGUGGGGCCCCCUCCCUCUUUGACGGCAAAGAAUCUUUGCAGAACAGGCUGAUGGCAAAGGCUUUCUUUGCCAUCAGCCUGUUCUUUGCCGUCUGCUUUCAGGUAGCUGAUGGCAAAGAACUUCUUUGCCGUCCAUUAGCUGACGGCAAAGAGCUGGCAGAUGGCAAAGUAGCUGAUUUCAAUAGUGGCUAGAUAUUCUCACAAAAAUUAGAAACAUUUGUCCGUCUAUUUAGUAAAUCAAUAAACCACAACCAUUAGAUUAGAUUGAAGUUGGAAAAAAUUAUCCACCAUGCCAUGGAUUUAUUUUUAACUGCCCAACUUUUCUAUCUCAAGCAGCCAAUCGAGAGAGAAAAAAAAAGCCAAUCAAAGUUGCGGGCUCUCCAUCCUCAAACGAUAUUGCCACCAUGUUUUUGGAUGCCCUAGCUUGCUCCUCGUCAACCUAUCUAUAAAGAUCAAUCAAGAAUAACGCAGCUGUCAUAUUCCUGAGCCCAUGGCCGGUCGACCUAGCCGCCGUAUUCCGGAGCCCGUGGCCGAUCUACCUACCAUCAGCAGCUCAGGUUUUAAUCUGCAUGCCCCAUGUACGCACAUGCAACACGAAACCCUACAAGAUCGAUCCAAGCCUUGCCUACAAGUAAGCAACAACAAAGAGCUACUCCCUCCGUUCCAAAUUAAUCGUCGAGCAAAAAUGAAUAUAUCUAGAACUAAAAUACAUCUAGAUACAUCCAUAUCUGCCUACAAGUAAUUUAAUUUGGAACGGAGGGAGUAGGUACUUAGCUCAGGUUCUAAUUUUUCUGCCCCAUGUAUGCACAUGCAGCAUGAGACCCUACAAGAUUGAUCCAAUACUUGCCUUCCUUCUAGGUACGUGGCUCAAGUUUUGAUUUUUCUCCAUGUACACACGUUCACCACGCAGUUGCGUUCGAUCUGGAUAGCACUGCAUCGAUGUUAACUUGAGUUAUUAUGUGUCUAUGUUAGAGUACGUAAUGGGCCUAAUGGCCUAGGCCGGCGGUAUAGUCCGUUAAUCUUAUGUUAAUUAGAGAUAAGGGUCGCUUGCUUAGGGAUCAAGUAAACCUCUCUAUAUAAGGAGAUGAAAGGUACCAAUCUAAUUAAGUAAGAAUUAAGAAGGAAAUCCCUUCCCUCUUGCCCUGCCGUGGACAAAAAGGCCCCCGCCCGGCCCUCUCACGCCCUCCUUUUAGCAGCGCCAUAACAAUUUGGUAUCAGCUAGCUUUGAUUCGAUCAUGUCUUCGCCCCUGCCCGACCUGUCUCUUCCGCUGCCGAGAUCCUCCGUCGCGCCCGCCCCCGCCAUCCUCACCCCGGAGGAGGCGUCCGGGGCGCUGCGGGACCUAACCCAGGCAGUCCAGGAGAUCCGCAUGUUCUUGGCCGGUUCCUACGGGCCGCACCCGGCUGCGCCGACCGUCGCCGCCACCACGCCGCCGUGGCUGCCGUGGCAGCCGCUGCACCAGGCGGCCUCCGCCGCGCUUGCNNNNNNNNNNNNNNNNNNNNNNNNNNNNNNNNNNNNNNNNNNNNNNNNNNNNNNNNNNNNNNNNNNNNNNNNNNNNNNNNNNNNNNNNNNNNNNNNNNNNNNNNNNNNNNNNNNNNNNNNNNNNNNNNNNNNNNNNNNNNNNNNNNNNNNNNNNNNNNNNNNNNNNNNNNNNNNNNNNNNNNNNNNNNNNNNNNNNNNNNNNNNNNNNNNNNNNNNNNNNNNNNNNNNNNNNNNNNNNNNNNNNNNNNNNNNNNNNNNNNNNNNNNNNNNNNNNNNNNNNNNNNNNNNNNNNNNNNNNNNNNNNNNNNNNNNNNNNNNNNNNNNNNNNNNNNNNNNNNNNNNNNNNNNNNNNNNNNNNNNNNNNNNNNNNNNNNNNNNNNNNNNNNNNNNNNNNNNNNNNNNNNNNNNNNNNNNNNNNNNNNNNNNNNNNNNNNNNNNNNNNNNNNNNNNNNNNNNNNNNNNNNNNNNNNNNNNNNNNNNNNNNNNNNNNNNNNNNNNNNNNNNNNNNNNNNNNNNNNNNNNNNNNNNNNNNNNNNNNNNNNNNNNNNNNNNNNNNNNNNNNNCGCGCUUGCCGGGCCGCUGUCGCAGCCGCUGAAGCUGACAUCCACGCCCCGUCCUGGCUGAAAUGGCAGUCGCCGCUCCUGGCGGCCUCCGCCGCGCCCGGCGCUCUGCCGCUGGCCCAAGGCGUCCCCAAAGCGCUUGCCGGGCCGCUGCAGCUGCCAUCAACCGCCACCACCGCCCCACCCUGGCUAUAGUGGUAGCCGCCGCUCCUAGUGGCCUCCGUUGCGCCCAGCACUCCUCUGCAGUAGCCACCGCCGGUCAGCUCCGGCCCCUCAUCGACCGCGCCAGCAGGAGUCCUGAUCCACCAGAAGUUCCCGGUGUCGCCAUUACCGCUUCCCCAGGGUGUCCCCAUCUAGCAAAUCAAGUUCCUGCCGUCGCCGUCACCGCUUCCGGCUUGGAACGGGGGUACCCAGACUUGCCUGCCUGCGGCCCACGGCGUGGCUCCACCAACAGCCCGGUACGACCUAACAUCAGCAGCAACAGCUCAAGACCCUCGCGAGGGACCAAGCCUCGCGAGGCGGACGACACCAAGACCUCCCUGGGGGCGGCCUCCUCAGGCUCGCUCCCGAGGAGCGGAGAUAUCUAUGCAAGGGGCACCUCGCGAGGUUCACAUGACGUGAGCCGUGUCGACCAAGGCCAGGCGGGCGCCAGCGGGCGCAGUGUACCAGUUUCCUCUUUGGUGCUAAAGAGGCAGGCGCAGACGAGGAGUCUAGAGGCAUCAGGCAAUGGUUUUCAUAUCGGUGCAACGAGACCAAGACUAGCAGGACGGCAGGACGGAGGUCAUCGCAGAGCCCACGACAGCGUCACCACCAGAGCCUUUGGCAGGCGAAGACUACUUUUGUCAGGAUAACUUGUACUAGUUGUCUUCCUUCAAAAUUGGUCGUCGUGGGAUCCCUUCCCGCCUACAUUUGGGAAGAGGACCGGAGCCUCUAUAAAUAGGACUAGUCACCACCAUAGGAGGGGAUCAUCUUAGACCGGAGAGAACUGAUCUGGGACCGGAUCCAUUCCACCAAGACCAUCCUCUCCAGCUCAUAGAGCUCAAGAACACCUCUCCUCCGGAGGCUGUUCAACCAUUGUACUAGUUCAUCCUCAGCCCACGAGGCAAUCCACCACCACCACAGUGGAGUAAGGUAUUACACCACAACAGUGGCCCGAACCAGUAUAAAUCUCUGUGUCUCGUGUUCUUUGGGUUCGUCGAGCUAGGCCGUGAGAGCGUUGAGCGAGCGAGCUAGGGAGAUGGAAUACUUCGUGCGCACCCCAAAGUUUGAACCUCACAAGGGUUUGCCGAAACCCAGAAUCCGACAUUUGGCGCUCCAGGUAGGGGUGCGCCAAAACUUCGUCUCUUCGCCUGCUUCACCUCUCCGUCUUGCUCCCAUGGCCGGCACCGCUUCCCUGACUAGAUCGACAAACGCACGCGACGGGGCCCUGGGCCUCCGGGCCCUCACCCCCGCCUUGUGGCAAGUGCAGUGGCCGCACAAGUUCAGUCCGGAGAUGUCGCCUCGUUAUGACGGCACGGCGGAUCCAUCGGCCUUCCUGCUGGCGUACGAGGAGGCGGUUUUGGAAGCUGGAGGCGACGACAAGGUCAUGGCCAACUGGUUCCCCAUGGCACUCACCGGUGUGCCGCGUGCCUGGCUGCUCAACCUGCCAAGAUCUUCUAUGGCUUCCUGGGAGGAGCUACGCGGCCUUUUGUCGAACGCUUCGCGGCACCAGCACCCCUUGCCGUUGCGACCCUCCUCGGCGGCUCGCAGGCGCCGCCCUCGGACCGCCACAUCAAGCAAUUCUUCUGCCAAAUCGGCGCCACCUCUGUGUAGCAGGGCGCCCCUCCGGGAUGGGCGGUGCCCAAGGCCGACCUCACCUUCGACUCGAGGGACCACCCCGCAACCACCGCUGGCUCAGGCGCACUCCCGAUGCUCUGCACACCCACCAUCUGCAACGUAGCAGUGACCAAGACCCUCAUCGACGGCGGAGCCGGCCUCAACAUGCUCUCCAUGGAAGCGUUCGGCUUGCUUCACGUGUCGUACGGCUGGCUCCGUCCCACCAAGUCCUUCCCCGGAGUUGGCAGCGGUUCCACCAGCCCCCUAGGGCAAAUCCGCCUCCCGGUCACCUUCGGUACCCGCGACAACUACCGCACCGAGCUUAUCGACUUUGACAUCGCUCGCAUCUGCCUCCCGUACAACGCCAUCCUUGGGUACCCUUCCCUGGCUCAGUUCAUGGCGGCAACCCAUCCAGCCUACAACCUCAUGAAGAUGCCGGAGAGUAGCGGCGUCCUCACCGUAGCCAGGGACACCAAAGAAGCCCUGACGGCUCUCGAGCUCGCCUUCAGGGCCGCCGCGGUGGCACGCCCGGCCGACGGAGCCCCAGAUACAAAGCACAAAAUAACCAGGACGCUAUGACAAUAUGUCGAUGGACUGGAUAUCCCAAUGUAUUUGUGACAUUCACAUGCAACACAGUUUAGUCAGAAAUUCAAUCAAUGCUACAAGAAGUAGGCCAAACAGCAUCAGAAAGACCUGAAAUUGUUGACCAAGUGUUCCACAUAAAGCUCAAGGAGUUCGUGAGAGACAUAAGAGAAAGGUAAUACUUUAGAAAAACACUCGCAAGUAAUACCCAACUACUUGAUCACACCUCUUACUAUAUCCCUAUAGAAAAAUAACUAACGGUUAUUUCAAAAUUGCAGUUAUAUACACAAUAAAGUUCCAAAAAAGGGAUCUCCGACAUGCCCACAUAGUCAUAUUCCUUGACAGAAAGGAAAAGAAACACAAGUACCCCGAACCAUCAGAGGUAGAUAGGAUAACAUGCACUGAAAUUCAAGACUAGUUGAUCCAUAAGGAUAUGUAGUGGUUGAGAACUACAUGUUGCAUGGACCAUGUGGCAUGGUCGACAACACAUGUAUAAGAAAGUUCCCUAAAAAAUAUGACAGUAAUACCACUGUAGGUGAAGAUGGAUAACCAGUAUAUAGAAAACGAUAAGAUCAAUAGGUGCCUCAAGUACACGUACAUAUCAGGCAAUGACGUGUGUUGAAGAAUAUUUCAGUUCAAAAUGCACUUUCAAGAUCCCUGCAUCGAAAGGUUGCAUUUCCACCUAGAGAAUGAGCAACAAAUCAUUUUAACUGAUUAUACAGAUUUAACAAAGAUCGUAAGGAAAGAAAGAGUGGGAAUAACAAAAUGUACAUAGUGGAUGGAGACAAACAAGAUCCCGUGAAGCAAGAGAAUUAACAUAUGCAGAGUUCCCGUUAAAAUGGGUAUGGAAGAAAAAAGAGAAAAAGUGGGGCAAAACAAAGAAAGGAAGAUACGCUGGAAUGAUAUAUAUGCUCAUACAACAAAUGGUGAAAAAUACUACAUGCGAAUGCUACUUAACGCCCGCAAAGGAUGCAUGUCUUUCAAAAGGAACCGUAAAUGGAGUUGUCCACACUUCAUACAAAUCUGCUUGCGAAGCACUAUGAUAUCAACGACAGAGUGGAUUGAGUGCAUAAAUGGGGCAUCAGACUGGGUGAUUGGCUACCAGCUAAGACAACUGUUCACAACUCUUAUGCCAUUGAAGUCACAAGCCCAAAAAUAUUGUGGGGGACAUGCUCAGAAGUUCUAAGCGAACACAUGGAGUAUAGGCAGAGAAGGCUCUUGAACUAUCCUACACUUUGACUAACAGAUACACAGAAGCAAGGAUACGCCUUGGUGAAAGUAGAUAAGCUCAUGAGACAAGCUGGAAAGACAUUUAAGGAAUACCCCGGAAUACAACAUUCGGAUUCUUCACAGAUAAAGUAACUUGGAAACAGACUACUCAAUGAAGAGAUAACAUCAUUCCAGGAUCUUUGGCAAUAUGAACUCUGAACAACUACAUGCGUUUGAUUCAGUAAUGGAAUCGAUGAACAAAAAUUUGGGAAAGAAUAUAUUUGUGGACGGCUAUGGCGGGAUCUGUAAGACAUACCUACGGAGGCAAUCACAGCAAAGUUGUGUUCCGAAGGAAAGAUAGUACUAGCAGUGGUGUCAUCUCAUAUUGCAGCGCUGCUUCUAUAGGGAGCACACUCGAGGUUCCACAUCCCCCUAUCCUUGCAGAAGAGUCAACAUGUUAAGGUUCCCACUUGACCUACUAAAAAAGACGUCACUUAUACUACGGGAUAAAGGUCUAAUGGCAAAUAAGAUAUGCUUUGAGGCACUAGACAGAAGUAAAGGUAGUACUAUAUUUUCCUAAACAAGUGUUCACAAAUGGAUAGCUACACGUAGCAUUAUCAAGAUUCACAAGAAGAGAUGGACAAUGUGUAAUGGUAAAUGAUGAAGAUAGCAAAGAGGAUGAUGUGGUCAAGAACAUUGUCUAUACUGAACUAUUUUAAAGGUAUGGAAAAACAAAAACACUUUUAGUAUGAUUCUUAGAUAAGAAUAGGUACAUGAAAAAUUUGUACACUGCAAACUAUCUUCAAAAUACAAAUUAAUAGCAUACCAAUGCUAACAUGAUAUGGCAGGACAAAUAUGGUCCACUGCUCUGCGUAAGUACUGGAAACGUGCAUCAACAUUUGAAGGAAAUAGUUAAUCAAUACCAAACAUGUACACUAUAUUUUCUGAUAUUUGUGGCUUAAUAUAUAGUACAACACAAUAUAAAGAGCAUCUGUGCAUCAUUAUAAUUUGUAUGACAAUGCGGUCAGACCUAUUUUACUACUCUAUUAAUAUAAAUACAUUUUUGUCUUUGGGAAAUAUUAAACUAGAGUUACUCACAAUUACACUGAUUAAUACAUAUAUUUGUUCAAUAUGAAUUGGGGUAAGGUUUUUAUUAUUUAUAUGUGUUAAAUAUGAAUUGGAGUAAGGGGGGCUAAUACUGCCGAUUACGGUCCAAGCCUGGAAAGAAGUGGAAGGGGCAUAAGAAAAUAAACAUUUUCCACUAACAGGCAGUACCUUAAUCACAUUAUAUUGGUAUAUACAACCGUACAAACAUAAUAAAAGGUUAAUAAAAAAUCGCAAUCAGGAAAAGGAGAAAGGGGAACCUGUAGGACGAAGAAAGCUGCCGAUGUGGAGGAAGACGACGAUGUGUCUGGCUGCCUCGACUGGGAACGACGACGAUGCGUCUGGCUCGCGCGCUAGGGGAAGACAACGCUGCCGCCAUCCUCAUGCUGAAGAUGGAUUCAAGCUGGCAGCGGAAGACAAGAUCCAAGCCCACAUCACAUGCGAGUCGAGCUGGGAGGUGCCUCAGUCGAGGACGAGCAAGCUAAAGGGAGAGCAAACUGAUGGUAGCUGAGUUACCAGUCGGAUCUCAUUCGGUCGUAGGAAUUUUGGAAUGAGCGAGCGGAGAGAAGAAGGAAAGGAGAAAGGGGAUCGGGCAAGAGUACGAUUUUUUAUUUGUAGGGAAGCAACUGCAAUACGUUUCUUUUAGCGGUGCAAGAGCUACAUGCUCACAUGUGAAGGUACGGUCUGAGCAAGAGAGAAAAUGUGUGAGCAUUGUGUUGUGUGCAUCUCCG